AAAACUUGCCUUAUUACUCUCUCGAUGGAAACAUGGUCUUGGUUUAUUAUUUAGGUCUUGAAUCAUGAACCUUUUCGUUUGGUUUCUUAUCAACCGCACUUUUGUCACCAUAUGAGGCUUUUGCCCGCAUUUGCUUCCUAAAGUUCCUCAUUUCUUCCACUUGCAUGAACUUGAUCGUCUUCUAUUUGAGUUCAUCCAAGUUUUCUGUAGGCUGCAUGCAUAGGCUAUCUGCAAAGGGUCCUAGUUGUAGGACUAUGAUCAUAUGGUGCAUAGCCACCUCUAGAUUAAGGUUUCGUAUUUGCUUGGCCUCCUUUUCGAAGCGCUCCACAUACGCUCGGAAUGACUCAUCUUUCUCUUGCUUGUCAUUGACCAGAGCAUUCAAAGUCAAGUGGCGCAGUUGGCUUAUUGUAAGUUGUGCUAUGAAUUUUGAUUAAAUGGUGGUGAAACAGUCAGUGGAGUUUAGCGGUAGUAGGGAGAACCAAGCCAAGGCCUCCUAUUUUAACAAGGUGGAGAAGAUCCUGCACUAGAUGACAUCAUUUGUUGUAUACAGUGCCAUUUGGUUCAUGAACAUUCUGAGAUACUCGUCCAGAUAAUAGGAGCCAUUAUACUUGUCAUAAAAUAAGCAUCUUCUAAUUGUCAAGUAAGGGGGUCUCCAUGAUGUUGGUGGUGCACGAGAACAUCUCAACCGUAUCCAUUGUGGCAAUGGAUAAGUUAUGAUCCUCGCUAACUCCGUUUCUCUCCAAAACCGUACGGUCGGGUUCGUUGCAUGGUUUUUCCUCAAUCCGAGUAAUGUUGGGUUGGAAAGUAUGAGAUUCUUAUCACCCCGACUGCGUUUUUCGCUCGCAGGGUUUUUAAUUCCUGAUCAUAUUUGCUUUGAAUCUCAUCCAUUUGCUUUUAUGGGUUCCUCAUCAUCUCCCUUGAGUUCAACUUGCCGUCUGAAGGUUCCUUCAAUAUAAUGUUCAAGUUUCUUAUAAUCACCAUGAGUUUAGAAAGUCACUACUUGACCUCAUGGUGAAUGGAAAAAUGUUUCGAUAAAUAAAGUCAAUUAAACUUUUUCUAAAGGCCAGUCAUCCAACAAUCUUUGCUCCAAGCUUUUGUUUGUCAAUAUUGAUUCGUGGUAUUUGUUAAAGUUUCUCUAUGCUAAAGUUUUUUCUGUUUAAAGGUUAGAGUAAUAAUAAGUGUGUAAUCAAUAUUCUACCUAAUACCUUAUCUUGAACUUCUAUUUAUAGCUUUUGUAAUGAACUUUUUUAUUAUUAUUGGUCUAAUUAUGACCCAAACUCUAUUAAUCUUGAUUAGAAGUUUAAUUAUAAUGGUUUUUUACUUUAAGUCAUUUCAUCUUAGUUGUUCAAUGUUUUUAUAAAAAUGUCAUCUCGUCCACUUGAUUAAUAUAAUAAAAAUAUCAUUUGAUUGAUAGAUAAAUUAAUCGUUCAAUCAACUCAUUGAUCAGACAAGCCAUAUAGUACAAAAACCUAUUUUAUUAAUUAUACCAAUAUUGAACUAACGAAAAAUUCUAUUAAAUUUGAAAUAUUUUAUUUAUUUAAAUAUAAUAAACAAACAUAGUAAUUUUAUGUUAAAUAUUUUGAUAAACUAAAAAAUUCAUAUCAUCAUCAACAAAAAGAUAUAUUAGGAUAAAACAUUGGCUAUUAAAAAAAAUUGUUUCAUAAUAAAUUAUUAAAUUUUCGUUUAUGAUUAAGUUUAUUAGACUAUUCAAACUUUCGUAUAAUAUUAUAGACAAAAUACAAUAAUAAUCUUUUUUUAAAAUCAAAUUAAUUCCUCUUAUACGAAACCAUCGUAUCACAUUAGAGUUAACAUCAACACGUAUAAACUAAUAUUUUUAAAACAUUAUACAAUUUACUUUUUAUUAUAUAUAAACGAUUUGACAGAUAAAUUUUAAUGGAUUGUAUAUGAUACUUAAAUAUAAUUAAUUAUAUUAUUUAUAAUCUAUUAUUUUAUAAUUUUUUGUUAAGAACUUAAAAAUAAAUCUAAAUUUUCACAUUAAAUAAAAAUAUAUGUAUUGUAUAAAUUAAAAAAUUUAUAAUUUUAUCAUCUUAAAAAUAUGAAUUAAUAUCACGUCUCAACAGAAUUGGAAAAAUAACAUUGUUAUAAUUUAUUUAUUCAUUUAGCAAUUUAUUUCAAGUUCAUAUACUUGUAAUUUAUUUCUUUUACUUUUUGUAAUGUAAAUAACAAAAUACAUUAAAUGAUAGUUACAAAGAUUAAAUAAAAUUAUUUUAUACGUAAAAUCUAAAACGUAAAGUUUGUUUAACUUUAAUAUAUCUAAAUAAGUAAUUAAUUUUAUACACAGAUUUAGAUGUUUCAUGUUGUAAAACUGAAUUAAAUAAAUAAGAUAAUAAUAAGAGCCAAAGAUAUAUGUUUAUGUUUCUUGGGAGAGGGACAAGAUAAUGGCGAAACGGCUUUAUUUUGGACCGUUUUGGAACAGAACAGUUUUUUGUCCGUAUAUUAACGUCAGUUUUUAUAAAAAUUUACGGGAAAAUGAUGCAGAAGUAAGAAUGAUAAUCAUAUAAACAAAUUUUGUUCAGUUAUAUAAAAUUUUAAUAUAUUUUAAUUAAUUAAAUGAUAAUAGAUUUUGUCUGGUAAAAAUUAAUUACUUUGGAAGCAAAUUAAAUAUGUUUUUAAUAUUUAAAUUUUAAUAUAAAUAAAAAGGCUUUUUAGAUUGUGUAGCACUUUUUCACUUUAAUAUAAAUUGAAAACACACAUUUUAACAAUUAAAAAAUUUAACAUAAUUGAAAUAUAUAGAAAAAAUUCAUGUUAAAUUUAAUUUACAUGUAGACAUUAAAAAGCUUAAUUAAUAAUUUAUAAUAUUUAUUAAUAAUUUAUUAUACAAAUUUAUGUUAAAAUUUACUUAGCAUCUUCUGCUCCCAUCAUUUCAUGUCUGCCUCUUUCAUGCUUCAAAAUUUGAACUUGUUUUUUUGGUGGGUAUGCUUUUUUUUAUCUGCACAAAUAAUUUCACUUUCAUCCCCAAUAAAUGCAAAAUUAGAAACUCGACCCAAAUUGUCUGAAGUGGGUACUAAAAAAACUCAAAACUAUUAAGGAGCAUUGGAAACUUCUACACAAGUCUCGUGGGGAGUGCAAAAUUCCAAAUAUCUUAUGCAUGUGCAUUCAUCCAGCCAUUUCAGCAUUUUUAAUAAAGUUAUCAUUCUAAUUUUGAUAUGAUAAUAUACUCUGCAAAUUAAUAUUAAUAAAAAAAUAAAAUCUCAAUAUUAAUAAUUUUAAUACCAUCUUAAAAUAAUUAUUCUAAUAAAAUUUAUUACGUUAUCAUUUAUCGGAUUGUUGUUGAAUCGUCAACAAAUAUUUAAUUUCAUGUUUUGCAUUUUAAAUUCUCACUAUCCAAAAUAUAUUAAAAAUAUAAUAUUAAAUAGAAAUAAAAUUAAAUUAUAGCAUAUUUGUGAGACAAAGCACUUUAUAUAAAUGAGAGAGCUAACUUUAUAAAUUAAUUUGUAAAAAUAAAAUUAAUUUUAUAAAAAUAAGUUAGUGUUAAAGUAUUUCUUAAUAAAAUAGUUUAAAAAAAUUACUUGAAUGAUUUUAUUUUUGGCCAAUUAAAGAAUUAAAUAUAUGGAUUAUGAUAUUUUAUCAAUUUUUUAACAACUUUUUCACAACAGAUUAUUAUGUUCUCAUUUUAUUGGUCUAUAUAAAAUAAUAUAAAAUUAUAAUUAUAAAAAUAUAUAAUUUUAAUUAUUAAAAAAAUUAUUAAAAUUUUAAAUACUUUUAUUUAUGUUUUUAAUAUUUAUAUGUGUUAUUUUAUUUGAAUAGCUAAUUUUAUUGAAAUUUAAUUAAAUUUAUGUUUAUAUACUUUUAGAAAAUUAAGUUUAUUUUUUUAUUUUUAGUUAAAAUUAUUUUUUUUAUCAUUUUUAGUAUAUGCAAUUUUUUACAUAACAUGAAGGAUAAAUAAAUUUGGUGGUUCCUAUUUUUACUGGUUUUCUUCAAAUAGGUCCCUGCAUUUUCAAGUUGAUCAGUUUGGUCCCUGAUUUUGAAAAAUUAGAGCAAUUAAGUCCAUUCUGUUAACUUCUCUAGACAACGUUAAAAAUUGUGCUUGCUGGCAGGAGGUGGUGUCAUUUUCGAAACACGUGACACAUAACCACUUUAUGACGUGACACAUAGCCACAUUUCUUGCCUAGAUCUCUGCCGAAACCCAACAUCACCAUCCCCCUACCGUAUUCACUCUGCGAUUCCCCUAUCCGAUUGUGCUAACAACAUCAUCUUCUUCAUCUCCUUGUUACCCCUAUUCCUGGUUCCCCUAUAAAGGAAAAAUGCAAAGACCCAAUAAAAAAACCUCUCGCACACAACCUCUGAUUCCUUUCCUCUACAAAAAAAAAAAUAACCACAAAAACCGAUCUCGCAUAAUCCAAAAAGCUCCAACUCAAUCACUUCCUAGCAUCCACUAUAUCUCCCAUCAUCAUCUCGUCAAUCCAUUUUAACACACUAUCAUCAUCAUAGAGUCAGCAAAAAUCUCACACAGAACAUCAUAGAAUGAAACAACCCACUUAAAAUCAAAUUAAAUGUUUCGAUUUCUUGAGUUUUAGAGUAAUACAAGGGAGGGUAUAUGUCCAUCAAAUUUCACCCAUGAACUAGUUACCCAACCCACCUUUCUAUUCUUUUGAAAGUUGCAAGGACCCCAUUAACCUCACCGGCAACGUCCAGUUUCAUUGGUAACACGGUGACGCCCAUUUUCAUUGACGACGACGGUUUCGUUCGAGGAAGAAGGUUGAUUCGCGCGAGGGUUUCGAUGAAGGACGGGGUCACCGGUGAUGAUGCGACGACGAGCUUCUUCUCGCGAUGGAAGAUGCAAAGGACGGGGUCACCGACGAUGAUGUGACGAUGAGCUUCUUCUCGCGACAGAAGAUGCGAAGGACGAGGCGUAAUGGGGGCGAUGGCGUCGCGACCAACGGUGACUCCGGUGGGACGUGGCGUCUCCGGUGACACCAAGACCGAAGAGGAUGGUGGUGCAACGACUGGAUUCGAAGAAGUGGUUGUGCGAAUCCCAAUCCUAGGUUGGCUCGAGAGACUGAGACGUUGUGAGUUUGGGAAGUGUGUGUUGGAAGUGAGGUGGAAUGAAGUGAAUAAUUUAAGUCUACGUCAUAAGGUGGUUGUGUCACGUGUUUCAAAAAUGACACCUCCUCCUGCCAGCAAGCACGAUUUUUAACGCCGUUAAAAGAAAUUAACGGAAUGGAUUUAAUUGUUUUAAUUUUUCAAAAUUAGAAACCAAAUUGAUCAACUUGAAAAUACAGGACCCCAUUUGAAAAAACCAGCAAAAAUAGGGACACUGAAUCUAUUUAACCUAACAUGAAAUAAAUAAGAAACAUUAAUUACUUAAAUGUGUAAUGUUAGAUCUUUUAUUAAAUUACAUAAAAAUUAAGUAAUAAUUAAAGAUAAUACAAUUAAUUGUGUUUAUAAAAUUAAAAUAACUAGUAAUAAAUUUAAAAUAUAAAAAAGAAAGAAAAUGAAAUAAAAGUCUUACAAUGUAAUAAAAGCUAGUUAAGAUACUGAUACUGCAAUGAAAACAGAACAUGUAGAAGUGUGGUACUCCAAUUAAUUUACCUUGUACAUAAAUUUUAGCUUCUCAAUGUUCACCUCACAUUGCAGUUUCCUACUUUCCAUUCUCAUCCCCACCCCCCAAACCUAACCAGCUAAGCUACUUAUCACUAACAGGGAAACACUAACUUCCCUAAUCUUCUUUCACAAUAAAAACCGCAGAGAAUCCCGGCAUCAGCCCCUAUAAAUCAACCUCUGCAACAAAGCCAUUCCAUUAUACUAACAUUUAUCUCUUCCUCUUUCUCUCUCUCUCUCUCUCUCUCUCUCUCUCUCUCUCUCUUCUUGCUUUCUUCAAGCAAUGGCCAAAACCAUGCCAUUAGUUCUGUUCAUGCUCCUUGUCAGUGUCUUUGCUGAAGAGCUUUACACUCUUCCUUCACCUCACCCUCCCACAUCAGCCCCACUUCACCCCCCAACUUACCCACCUGCAAACGCCCCUCACCACCAUCACCACCACCACCACUCACCGGCACCAGCCCCUGCACCUCUCCACCCGCAUUACCCUCCAGCCCCUGCUCACCCUCCAACUCAUCAUCAUCACCAUCACCCUUCUGCUCCUGUUCAUCCUCCUCUCAACCCUCCGCUUGUUCCAGUUCACCCUCCUCUUAACCCUCCAGUUCCACUUCAUCCUCCUGUCAAGCCUCCUGUUCCCGUUCACCCUCCCGUUCCAGUUCCAGUUCACCCUCCUGUCAAGCCUUCGGUUCCAGUUCACCCUCCUGUCAAGCCUUCGGUUCCAGUUCACCCUCCUGUCAAGCCUCCGGUUCCAGUUCACCCUCCGGUUCCUGCUCACCCUCCUGUUCCAGUGCACCCCUUCCCUAGAAGCUUUGUGGCAGUUCAAGGUGUUGUCUACGUCAAGUCCUGCAAGUAUGCUGGAGUUGACACUCUCUUAGGAGCCACACCACUGCUUGGUUAGUCUCCUUUAUCUACUUUUUAACCUUGCUUCCUUUUGUCUGCUGCAAGCUUAUCAUAUACUGAUACUAAAUGUUUUGAAUACCUUAUUGCUGUUCCAUCCAAGUACACAUUUUUUGCUUCCAGGGAAGUAAACUGUUUAAAAAAUAAUGUCUUGCAGAUUUUGUUUUAUACUUUUUAGAUCUGGUCUUUUUAUUUGUUUCUCUACUAUUUUUCGGCUAUCUAAUUUGUUUGCUGUUUAGUACAUUUCUAGUUCAACCAGACGAGGAUCUAGGUAGAUCAAGUUAACUUUUUUUAUUUUAUUUUGUAUAUUUCUGAAAUUUUUUUAUUUGUAUGGAUACCUAUGCCCGAGGGAUGUUAUUAAUAUUUCCCGUGCAUUUACAUCGUAUUCAAGUUGAGAAUAGUCAUGGUAUGUGUUAUACUCUCAAGUUGCUCUUUCCAAUGCAUGGCUGUAGCUUGAUUUAAGGAAAGAAAAUUUUUCAAAAGCAAAACCCGGAAGAAAUGAGUGUGUUUUUCAACAUAAUGUAGUGAUCUUUAGUUUCGCAUCUCAAGGCAAAAUAAACCAAUGAGUUGGUUUGUGUAUGUGAUUGAGAGAGAGAAAGGGAGAUUUCAAAACAGCAAUUACUUUGUGGUAAAGUUGAUUUGUCGUUUCACGAAAGCUGCACGGUUUCUGAGAUCAGGACUUUGUUUGUUGUGACUGUUUUCACCAUUGUGUAAUGGUGACCCUUUUUACUCUUAUUGUGAAAUGACAAUGUUAUCCCAAUCUUGAUAAACGACAAGAGAUGAGUGUGGUGAUGGUUUGAAACUGCAGGUGCUGUUGUGAAGCUCCAAUGCAACAACACGAAGUACAAGCUGGUCGAAACCACCAAGAGUGACAAGAACGGUUACUUCUACGUGGAAGCGCCGAGGAGGAUCACAACGUACGGGGCUCACAAGUGCAAUGUGGUUCUGGUUAGUGCACCCGGUGGCCUGAAAGCCUCAAAUCUCCAUGGUGGUGUCACUGGUGCUGUUCUGAGGCCAGAGAAGCCAUUUUUGUCUAAGAAGCUUCCCUUUGUGCUCUACACUGUUGGGCCUCUGGCGUUUGAGCCAAAAUGCCAUUAUUAGAAACAAAAGAUUUGAAUGGAUUGUGUAUGGGUUUGUUUCUGUUGUGGCUUAUGUAUCUCAAUCUUUAUGUGUUUUCCGUUUGUAGUGUUCUGAGUUUGAACUGAUAUCAUACACAAAAUAAGUGACAUAGUUCUCGUAUGAAUUGUUAAUUUAGUGUAAAAGAAAUGUUGUUUAUGCUUUUUUAUUAAGAUGCUGCUGUCUCUUUUUUACUAUUGGUCUUCAUUCUUCAAUGUUCCUAUAAUCUUCUAUUGGUUUAGCUACGUUUAUAUUCUUAAAUUUUCAAAGGAAAGUGGUAGCCUAAACUUUUCUAAAAGGAUCAUGAAACAUUUGACACCUUAUAUAUACACCUAUUUCCUUGUCUUUGUUUUUUCUGCUUUUAAAAAUAGAAAAGUUUAUUUAUUACAGUCUGUUUUAAUAAAAUAUACUAAGACUAUCCUUAGGUAAAAUAAAUUCAAUUUAUUACAGUCUGUUUUAAUAAAUAUCAUGGUAUGUAUUAAUACUGAAAGAUAAAAAAGUAAUAAUUUAUUUGUAAUAAAUUCAAUUUAUUACAGUCUGCUUUAAUAAAUGUCAUGAUUAAUACUGUAAAGUUAAAAGAAUUCAAAUAUUAAUUUAUUUAUGAUAUUUGAUAUUAUAUUCUAAAAUAGUUUUUGUAUUCUUUUGAUACGGUUUAAUGUUUGUUUAGUUUAGACAAAAAGGUGGGGAAAAGAAGAAAGAGAAAAAGGAGAUGAAGAUGUUUGUAUACGGAGAAAGAUGAUAUAAAGUAGAGAAAAAAUAAGUAAAAGAAUUGUAGUUGGUUUUAAAGUAUUUUAAUAGCAUAAUAAACAACUAAAAUAUUUUUUCCAUUAAAACUUAAUGAGAAUGAAUACAAACCCAAAUUAAAAUGUAAUUAAUUAUAAAAUAUUAUAAUUAGGUAUUUUGAUUUUAGAGUUAGAAAUAAUUAGGUUAUUCAAAUAUCAAAUGUAACAAUAAAUCAUUAUUAUUACUUUACACCUACUUUUAUUUAUAUAAAUUAUAAUAAAUUUUUAUUUAUCAUCGCUAUGAUCAAUUAUUUUUUAAUAGUAAUUAUUAAGUUGAUUUGUGUUAAUAUUUACAGAAGUUCUUAAUCAUUGAUCGGUAACUCAAAUGAUCAGUCAGAUUUUUUUAUGAGACAAUACAACUUUAUUUAUUUUAUCAAUCACUCUAUUGGAUCAAUUUGAUAAUCUUAUAUUGGGGUUAAUAAAACUGGUCUGCAUUGGACCGGUUAUGCUUGUACCAUACAUAAGCCAUCCAAGCUCGAGUAGUCGAGGAUUGGCUACGAUGGGAUGAAAGCUCUAUGGAAGUAAUUUGGUAGUAUCCUUUGGUAUUGACAUUUGAUCGGAUGUAUUUGAAAAUGUUAUUGUUGACUUGCACCUUGUGUCGUGUGUUGUCAGUUCUGAUGUAGGAUACGAGGUGACAUGUGUUUUCAGUAGUUAAAUGUGUCCAAAUCUGACAAUCAAGAUGAUGCUACGAUUAGCCUUCAUCUUAUAUAAAAGGAAGGGCUCCUGGCCCGCCAAUUUUACUCUUCUUCUCGCGAGGUUAUGCAUGUACAAAUCAAUCUUCAAAUUCUUUUCCUUUUAAAAUAAUAAUGUCUACCAUGAGUAUUUCAUGUCCAGGAAAGUCCUUUGGUUAGGACGAUCAAGGGCGUCUUGUUGUCGUCAUCAUCACUCGAAUCAUUAGGGAGCCAAGGAUCAAUUGGACAAACUAUGCCAUUGGUUAGCACCAACACCACAAAGACGAAUAAUGUUAGCAAUAAGGAAUAUAGACACCGAAGGGGUCUGCCCAAAGUGCUACUAGUGAGGUUGAAAUUGAUGUGUUGGUAGAAAGGAAUGAGCCGAACGUGGCAGAGAUUUUGGGUUAUGAUUGGAUGUCCCAUGAUGUUUGUGAACAUAACUCUCGAUACAUGUGGGAAAACAAGCUGGUGGACCUGGUCGAGCGGUUUUACAUUCUUGGGAAUCACAUCGAUGAUUACAUCGUCAAUCUCAGGGUGUGCAAAGGGAAUGAACAAGUAUCUCAUGGUCGGGGAGAUUCAAAGUCAGACUUCUUUUUCGUGUAUGGUUGUUUCUUCUCCAACUUGUAUGUGCGUGUCCCGUUUGAUGAUUUCCAGACAAGAGUAUUAUGGGGAUUGAAUGUUGCUAUGACCCAACUUCACCUAAAUGCUUAAACGACAAUUCAAGCAUUCAUAAUAGUGUGUAAGGCCUUCAAUAACCCUUACUUCGACUUUAUUUUUUCAUCACUUUCGCACCAUGCCGAACCCAAAAGUGGGGUAGUUGUUUUUGAUAAGCGAGUUCGACAAAUUUCUUUUCUAACUGGUUGCUGCUUCGUACAAAAAUUUUAUAAUGUGUAUUUCAAGGUGGCAAUUAAGGCAGAGGGCCAUAAAUAUUUCUCUGACAAGAAUGAUUAGCCCAUGUUUCCUCUUCACUAGACUAAGAAUCUCAAAUGAUUGACCUCUUGGUGUGAUACCUCGAUGACGUCCAAAGAUAAAUCAACACUUAAAUUGUUGGAGGAGCUCCCUCGACGAUUACCGACCAAAGUGCUUCUAAAGUGUUAUAAGUCUCGCAAUAUUGGUGAGGAUGUGUUUGGUAAGUAGUCCUUCUUAAUUCGUUAGUUGUUCGAAUUUUGACUUGGCUAAAUUUUUUCUUGUGUUACAAAUAUCAUGGCUUGCACAAGUAAAAAAAAAGUUGGAUUUCUAUAAGAAACUGCUAUAUAAGCACUUGGCACCUGUCGACGACUUCAGUGCAUCCAAGGAGCUUGACUCUACCCGUUUGGCUACUAUCAACCACUCGAUCGAGGUGGUGAUUGACAAGGAAGACACUACUUCUUUGGUCUUGAACGUGCCCUUGCUAUUCGUAAUCUUCACCACCUCUAUUGACCAAGAGGAAGGUGAGGAAAAAAAUUGUAAGAGGAAGCAUGAGGUGAAGGCUUUCACCACCUAAUCCUCUAAGUGCAUUCAAGGCAAGAUGUCUGCUCCCUUAGUCGAGGUAUUUUCAAUACCGAGUUGAAACUUGGUAAUAAGGUUUCCUUCAAUCUUAUUUUAAGAAAGGGUUAAUCAAGGGUCUUUCAGAGGUUGAUGCGCAGGAUGCCCUAGCCGAGCUGAGAGUUCGGGCGACCCUUCUUAGCAAGUGAAUUGCUCCCAAUGGCAUCCGGUUUGAGAUUGCCUGGUUAGAGAAGGAUUAAGCCGACUUGUAGGCAAAUUUGGAUGUUGUCCUUAAAGCCAAUUCCAUGUUGACUGCUCAGUUGAAAGAUGCGAGUACUGCUCACGACGUGUGCUUUGACAGGGAGAAGAAAUUGUCCCAUAAGUUUUCAAAUUUGGUGAAAGAGGAGUAGUACCUUAUCAAGGAAAAGCAAUGGUUGCAACGGAAUGUCAUUGACCUCCUUCUUGCCCAUAGAAAGGCCCUAACAGAUGUGAGGCAUGGGAGAAAAAGUACACGUCCCUUGCUGGUGAGCUAGAAGAGAUUGAGUGGCAAGUGAUGUUGUAGCAUGAGACCAACUAUCAAAAGGCUCUCAACCAGGUGACUUAUUUUUAUAGCGUCCCUUUGGAGGAGGGGAAGUGUUAUGAGCAGAAGGCCUUUUAUAACAGAGAACUAGUACACAUCCAGGACAUACCCGAUGAAGAUGUUGCUGCCCAAGGCGAUGUUGGGCUUCCUUCUCCCAAUCACUCUGAAUUCGUUUAACAUGCAACCACCCACCUAAAGCAUAGUUUAAUUUAGGCUUAAUUGCUUACUUGGUCGUCUGAAGCUUCUUUUAACACAAUGUUGCUCAUCAUAUUCCUUAUGGCCACUAUGUGAGUUUAUAAGUGCUCGCUCGACUCUACGGUGAACGCCGAAAUGUUUCUAUUGAACAUGUUGAGUACUAAUAACUCUACAGUGAUUCGGUUCCUAACUUCUUUCUCUCUCUCUCUUUAACGGUUAAAUCCUUUGCUCUUUUUGGUUUGAUGCAAUCUUUGCCAAGUCCACAAUCGCUUAGAUAAUACCUACGAAAGGUACUAUAAUUCUUAAGUCAGAAAGGGUUAAGUCACUUCGGUAUUAAAUGUAACAAUAAAUCAUCAUAGCUAUCUCACAUAGACCUCUUAUUUAUAUAAACUAUAAUCAACUUUUACUCACUACCAACCUAAUUACGACAAUCACCUCUUAAUUAUAAUUACCAAACUGAUUUGUGAUAAUAUUUAUAGAUACUUUUAAUCAUACUAAGUGUAGAUCUGAUUGGUAACUUAAACUAUCAAUCAGAUUCUUUUAAUAAGAUGAUACAAUUUUAUUUAUCUUAUCAAUCGUUAUGUUAGAUUGAUUUAAUAAAUUUAUAACGAAAUUAAUCCAAACUAUCUACAUUGGACUCAUAUAAUACCAAUGUUUAUUUUGUAUAAUGAUAUGAAAUUAUGUAACAAAGUUAAUGCUUGUUUCUUUUUUUUAAUGAACUUCUUAAUUAAUCUCCCGUCUGAGCGAGGUUUAACAAAUGUAGGAAUAGUUUUUUUAAGUAAAUUAUCCCGUGAGAUCAUAUUACACAAUUAAAAUUUAUUUUCAUGGUCUUAUAAUUUUUUUUGUAUAAGUCAGAUCAUAGUAAUAAGAAAUUAUUUUCUUAAAUUAAAACCAACUUUUGUUUUAGAGAAAUAUACAAUAAUAAAUAAAUGUUUGUUGUUUGAAGUAUAAAUAACAUUAUUAAAUGAAAUCAUAGAAUAUCCUUAUAUUGAAUGAAGAGUAGAUUUUAUGUUUUUAAAAAAUUAUAUGAAAUAAUAAACUUAAAAAAAAAAUUGGGUUUUAGUGUUUAAAUAUUUAUAAUAUAUUUUAAUUACAUUUAAAAUAUUUUCUUUCUAGCAAAUAAAUUAAAAAUAUUAAACGUGAAAAGAAAGUUUACAUAUUUUCUGAAAAAUGAAAAUGUAUUAUUUUAAAGUUUGGGUAUUUAAAAUUUAAAAGGAUCAAAAUUAAAACAUCGUUACAUUAUAGUUAUGAUCACUUUUAGGUAACUUUUAUUCCUUCUAUUUACAAGUAUCAUUACUCAUUAUUAGCUUGUAUCACGCCACGAUUUUAUUUAUUUAUAAAUGACAAUAUGUAUAUAAACGAAUGUAAUGAUUUAUGUAUGGAGCUACGGAACAUGCCUUUUAUAUAUAUAUAUAUAUAUAUAUAUAUAUAUAUAUAUAUAUAAUCAUUCAAACAAUCAUAAUUAUAUAGAGUUGUUAAUGUCUAAUUUCAUUAUCACCAACCGAAUCACAUAUUUAUUCAUUCUCAAAUAUCAUUACAUUCUUAAACUAAUAAAAAUUUAAUGUCAAAUCUCACGUGAUAAUAUAACCCCAUCCGUUCAACAAAUAAGAAAAGAAAGAGAUCCUAGAAUUGGAGGGAAAAUACAAACUUAGAUAAAACUUUUUUUUUAAGAUUGAUCUAUUCUUUAUAAUAUUUAAUUAAUGGUCUCUAAAGAGAAAAAAUGAUGAAUAAUCGUCUAAAAGAACUUAGAAUGAUACAAUUUUAGAUAAAUGAUCAUUUAUGAGUAAGAGUUGUUUUGAUUAUCAUCACCAAUUCACUCAUCAUUAAAGUCAAAAACCUCCUUGCCAGCCAGGAAUUAACCAUUAUAGGGAGAGUCGCUUAAACUUCUAUUAGAAUAAGUUGCCUCAUGUGGGAAAAGAAACUGGAUAGCAAAAGGAGAAAACAACAUACAUAAAAAAGCGGAAAUAAGAGAAACUUUUAAAUCCUUCAAACAAAAAGACAAUUCCUUGAAGCAAAAUGCAAGUGUUUUUAAGAAUGGAGAAAUGACAACAAAAAUCUUAUAUAUAUUUAGAAAAUGUAAGCAUUAUAUUUAUCAAAAGUUACUUUAUUCAAGCAUGAAGUGGAGUUAUAACUCACUCAAAAUGUAUUUAAAUCUCUUUCAUCAUGCUAAAAAGUAUCAAUUUAAACAAAUAGUUUAACUCUACAGAAUAAUGAGUUUGAGAAACUUUGUAUUUUUAUCAGUAUUUUAAUAUAUUUGAAAUAUAAUUCGAAUAUCUUAAAAGUUACUUAAAGAUUCUUACGCUAGUCUAAAAAUAGCUUAUUAUGACAAUUAUUAUACCAUUUAUAAUUCACUUAAUGAAAAAAUUAUAAGUAUGAUAAGAUUUUGUAUGCCAAUAUCACUUGAAUCGGUAUAAAAAGUGGGUGCGGUGGUAUUUUUAUAAUAAAGUAGAAGAUUUUUCAUUCAACAAACAUAGAAACAAUUUUGUAAUAAAGUAAAAGAUAGUAGGUGCCAAUAUUACUUCACUAUAAUUCUAUUUUACUUCUUCUAAUUUCUAGGUUAGGAAUUCUAUUUUAUGAAAUUGAUUAUCAAUAGCAUUUGACUAUUUGAUUGUUUUUAUAUCUAUUGAUUUACAAAUUUAUCAGUCGAACACAACAACAAAGAAUUGGAGGAAAUAGAGUACGAAGUGAAUGAUAGUGACAAUGUUGAAGAUUUGAUGGUAAACUAGUAAUGGUGACAUUAGGGUUUUUUGAAAAAUUUAAGAGUGAAACUUUCUAUGGAUUAUGUCUAAAACCAAUAUAAAAAAUUAAAUCUUUUUAUGCUGUCUAUAUAUGUGGAUUCUAACCUAACAUGGGAUUUGUUUUUUAACUGACAUAAAAAGUUUUUCUGUAUUAGUAUAAUAAUUUAGUUUAUCUUUUAUUACGUAUUGUAUUUAUUAUGCAAUUACCACAAUAUUAUUGAGGGACUUGUUUUAAUAAGUUAAUUAGUUUAUGCAUAAGUUAAUUUAUUAGAAAUUUUGGUGUAUUUUUAGUUGAUGCAUAAGUUAAUUUAUUAGAAAAUUUUGGUGUAUUUAGUUGAUGCAUAAGUUCAUUAUUUUUUCUUACUUUAUUUUCUUCCUUAGAAGGGUUUACAGGGAAACUUAUCCAAGUAGGUUUUAUAUCAUCAAUUAAAAAGAUAAAGUUAUAAAACUUACAUAACACAUUCAUAAAAAAAAGGUUUACUUCAAUAUAAAAUCUAAAUACUUAAUAUUUCUCGUUAUUUUCAUGUUCACUUAGAAUAUAUCUAAGGAGAGUUGAAUGAAUGAGUUCCUUAUCAAUAUAAAUAAUAUUUACAAAUUUAUUAAAAUUAAAUAGAGUUUUUACACAAAAUAAAUUCUUUGUAAUGUUAAGAAACUCGUGUUUAUAAGACCCAUAUCAAAAUAUUAUUUUUAUGGUUAAUUAAAUUUUUUAUUUUCAAACUAUUAUAAAAGAUUGUGUUUUAUUUUAAAACUAAAUUAUAAAAUAUUAAUCCAUGCGUUUUAUAAAAAUUAUAUAAAAUAUCUUUUGUAGCAAACGCCAUAUGUUAUGCUUUUUAUAUGAUAAAUAGAGUUUUACUAUGCAAUAUAAUAUUGCCUCUUUAUAUCAUUUGUUGGAAAGAAUGUUUUAUAUAUAAUUUUCGUAAAGUAUAAAUAUAAAAAAGUUUAUAAUUUAAUUUAGAAACAAAAGAAAUUUUUAUAUAAUUUAAUUUAGAAACAAAACGUAAUUUUUUAUAAUAGUUUGAGAAUAAAAAAUAUAUUUAAUCUUUGUUUUUAUUAAUCAGAAACUCUUAAUGGUAAUGUUCUUUACUAACUAAAGCAUUGAAACAUAAUUUGUAGGUGAUUCUCUAUGUUAUGAUUCUUAUUUCUCAUUUGUGUUAAAAUUAUUUUCAUAGUCAUUAAUAAUUAUAAAAGAUAUAAAAUUGUACCUCAUUAGCAUAUUAGCUAGUCCAAUAACAUUCAAUUUCCAGUAAGAAAAAUAUGGUGUUUGCUUAACCAAAAUAUUCUGAACCUGAUGUUUGUCUUUAUUCAAUUGAAUUGUAAUCAAUUUCCUGUCAAAGAGAUACAACUAGAAACAUUAGAAAUAGUUUAAAGUUUGAAAAAGAUGACAUUCAUUUGAAGUAUUUACGGGUGUCCCAAGAGUAAAAUAUUUAAAAAAAAAAGAGGAUAAGAUGAGAAUGAGGUUGGAUACCAGACAUGUUACAUCAUGAUUAAGGUUAGAGUUAACAUAGAUUUUAUAUUAGUAUACUGUACUAAUAUUUGGGUGUGCUUGGUCCCCCAAAAGGACGUGGUAAUUACAGCUUGUAGGGUAGGGGUACCUCCAUUCUCAUCAAUCCUUGGAUUACUCAAAGGUCACCAAAUUCAUUAUCAGUGAGAGUGACUUCUUUUGCCCAUCCCUAUCACUAUAGUUACAAACGCCGUUACACCAAAUUUUUUAUAGACCAGUUUUCUUGCAUCUUCAUAGUCUAAUCUCUUGCACCUCCAAUUUUAUUUUAUUUUUUAAUUUUCUUUUUAUAAUAGAAUAAUAACUAACAUUAUUCUCUCUCUUCUAUUUAAAAAGAGUGAAAACUUACACUUUCACGUAUUUUCUGCGGUCUCUCUUCGGCUUCUCCUUCUUUCUCUUCCAUUGUUUUUAUGGUAUAGUUAUUUUUACACCCAAUAUUUGACACAGAUUUGACAUUGCAGGUGUCAACGACCAUUGGUUGUUUUUUUUUUUUUUCCUAAAAAACUGGCACAGAAAAUGAAUAGAGUUUUAAAAACUUUUUGUACCGAUUAUAUCCUUCUCUUGUUUCACAUUGUUUUCUCUCUCGGAUUUCGUUUCUCUCACAUUUUGACAUCUCUUGCGUUUUCCUUUUCUGGUUCGUUCUCAUUUUUCUUCUCUGGUUCGUUCUCGUUUUCCUUCUCUGGUUCGUUCUCAUUUUUCUUCUCUGGUUCGUUCUCGCAUUUUGUUUUCGUUGUCCUUAUUCGAAAUGGAAAGUUCCGGACAACAACGUGGUUGGAGCAAGGUAAAUGCAUUCUUCAACCAUUUUUUUGUCAGUUUGGGUAUUGGGUUUUGUGUUUGGUGUCGGUUUCCGUUGAUGUUGUGGUUUAGGUAUAGGGUUUUUCGUUUGUGUGUUGGAUUUCUUGUGGGUUCUUCGACCACUUUUGGUUUUUUGAUUAUUUCCUUUGGUAUUUACCAUUGUGUUAUUUUCUAGAUGUAGUUGACCGUUCGUCAUUUCCUUUUGGUUAUUUCCUUUGGAUGGAACGUCGAACAUCGCAGAAGGUGGAAUUGCGAAGAACACACUGGGAAAAAUGUCAAACAACCAAUCACAUUUGAAGACGUAUGUCAGAAUUGGAUCAAGAAGGCGUUUCAUGAGCCAAGAACUUAAGACACCAUACAUCGGAAAUGUAGGACCUAGAAAGAAAAAUGAGUGAUUAUUGUAUUGGUUUUAGAAUAGGACAAGAACUUGAUUGAUGUUGUAAUGAAACCUAUUUGGUUGAAUAUAUAGAAGAUGCAUGUUUGGUUCCAUUUAUUUAUCUAAUUCAUAAUUGCAAUUAAAAUGUCUAUGUUAUUGAAGUGAUUUAUAAAUUGAUUUGGAAGUGAUAAUGUUUGUGAGACAAGAAUGAAUUAAUGUUUGUGUUUUUGAGUGAGUAUUGGGUUGAAGCUAAUGUUUUGGGUCCCCCAUGAUGGAGGGAGAGAGCACCCAUGUUUAGAUUAUUGAAUCCAGUGAAGUUAUGCUAUGUAUGCUGCAAAAAUCUUCCUUGUAAUCGAUUACAAAUAGGAUGUAAUCGAUUACGCGUGUCUGAUUUACAUAUUGGACAUCCUGUUGAACUGAGGGAGCCACCAGUGAUAACACAGGGGACCACAGUUGAGUAGCAUUGUGUUUUGACCCAAAUCCAAUACUUUUAAUUGUAAUUUGAUACUGUUGAGUGAGGAUAUGCUUGAAGCUAAUGUUUUGGGACCCCCAUCAUUGAGGGAGAGAGCACCCAUGUUGAGAUUAUUCANAGAAGUGAAGUUGUACUAUGUAUGCUGCAAAACUUUGGCUUGUAAUCGAUUACAAAUAGGAUGUAAUCGAUUAUGCGUGUUUGAUUUACAGAUUGGACAUCCUGUUGAACUGAGGGAGCCACCAGUGAUAACGCAGGGGACCACAACAGAAUAACAUUGUGUUUUUACCUAAAUCUGGUACUUUUAAUUGUAAUUUGAUGUUGUUGAGUGAGGAUAUGCUUGAAGCUAAUGUUUUGGGUCCCCCAUCAUUGAGGGAGAGAGCACCCAUGUUGNNNNNNNNNNNNNNNNNNNNNNNNNNNNNNNNNNNNNNNNNNNNNNNNNNNNNNNNNNNNNNNNNNNNNNNNNNNNNNNNNNNNNNNNNNNNNNNNNNNNNNNNNNNNNNNNNNNNNNNNNNNNNNNNNNNNNNNNNNNNNNNNNNNNNNNNNNNNNNNNNNNNNNNNNNNNNNNNNNNNNNNNNNNNNNUUGUAAUUUGAUGUUGUUGAGUGAGGAUAUGCUUGAAGCUAAUGUUUUGGGUCCCCCAUCAUUGAGGGAGAGAGCACCCAUGUUGAGAUUAUUCAUAAAAGUGAAGUUGUGUUAUGUAUGCUGCAAAAAUCUGCCUUGUAAUCGAUUACAAAUAGGAUGUAAUCGAUUACGCGUGUCUGAUUUACAGAUUGGACAUCCUGUUGAACUGAAGGAGCCACCAGUGAUAAUGCAGGGGACCACAGCUGAGUAACAUUGUGUUUUGACCAAAAUCUAGUACUUUUAAUUGUAAUUUGAUGUUGUUGAGUGAGGAUAUGCUUGAAGCUAAUGUUUUGGUUUCCCCAUCAUUGCACAGGUGACCACAGCUAAGUACCAUUGCACAUAAACAAACCUUGCCAUUAUUCAUCAAUCCACAAACAUUUGUACAUUGCACAUAGACAACCUUGAAAUCAAUAUUUGUACAAUCUCUUCAUAUAUAUCAAAAUUAAAGUGUCUUCAUAUACAUUAUUGUAUCUUUCAAUGUGUACAUAAACCAAUUGGUAGAAAUCCAUAUUCCUAUCAAAACAAACUACACUAUACUAUAUUUUUACACUGGAGAACUAUCCUACAACAAUCCAUACACCUCUAGCGCAUUCAGUAGUCUUAUGUUCUCGUCGUCCAAGAUCCAAUCACGUACGUAUUGCUUUCUAAUUGCAAGCAAUUCCUCCUGAAAUGAAAAUAUUCCAAUUAUAAAAUCAACCCAAUGGCACUAAACUUAUCCCUCCAUCAAACAGGUCAAAAACAACCAUGAUUUCGGGCAUGUCACCAACACGCUCGCCAAUAUACCACUCCAACUUUAACUACAACACAUGCAAACAAAUUUAACAAUAGGUCAAAAUCAUCAAUAAUUAUAAAAAACUUACAUCAAAUACUUACAUCUCUAGUCCGAAACAAAUCAUCAAUAUUUUCAAAUGACCGUGACUUACAGCGGAACCAACGCACUAUGCGAGGGAAAUCCCUAUGAGUUGGAAAUCCCUAAAAAAUGCGACUAAAUAAAAUACCAAAACUUUAACUUACCUUUGUGUUUUCGGAAGCCAUUGCAACUACACAAAAUAUUAAUGGUGGAUUAGGGUUCACAAAACACAAAAAGAAUAAAUAAUGCCAAAGAGAGCGAAAGAGAAGCCAAACAAUGCGAAAGAGAGCGAAAAGCCGAAACAGAGCCACAACGCCAAAGAGACCCAAAACGCGAAACGCAAAAGAGAGCUUACCUCAACAAAGUGAUUGCGAAAGAGCUCUUUUUUUGGUUGAGAUGAGACCUUUGGAUGAGACGAAAGUCGAAUGGAGAAAGUAAGGGAUUAGAGAGAUGAAGCUGAAUGGGAGAGACGGAAGUUCAGAACCAAAGUGAACAAGAGAAGAAAACGAGACCGCCAAAAUGAAAAUUCAUAUUAUCAGAAUUCCAAAAUUACCCUUCUUAGCUUUUUUAAAAAUGUUUUUCACUUAAGUGACAACAUCCAAUAGAAAUUUGACACCUGGCCAGUGUCAAAUUUGUGUCAAAAAAAUGGUGUUAAAGAAACAUUUUCCUUGUUUUUAUUCUCUUUCUGUUUUUCUUGUGUCUCUUUGGUAGUGUGCAUGUGAUAGUGGUGGUAUUCAUUCUUGUGGCUUUAUUAAAUGUUAGUUUUAUUUUCUUUUUCGAGUUAUGAGAGGUUUAAAAGUUUUAAUCAUACGAUUAAUGUUUUAUCGACGUUCAAAAGUCAAUUAAGAUUUUACAAUAAUUUGACAUGCAUCGAAACUUUAAUCGACAUUUAAACAUCGGUAAAAUUUUAAUUGUAUUUUAAAAUACGAUUAAGAUUUCUAAUCCUUUCAUAACUACAUAUGAUGAAUGUAAAACUAAAGUUUAGUAAAUAGGAAAAAAAACCAGAUAAACAAGUACUACUACCAUCACACACCACAAAAGAGAUACAAUGAAGAUGAAAGGAAAACAAAAACAAUAAAAGAGAAAGAAGAAAAACGUGAAUGGAAGACCAGAGGAGAUACGUGAGGGAUGUAGAGUUUCACUGUUUUUAUUUAUUAUUUUUUACUUUAAUGCAAUUUUAAGUAAAUUAUUUGUUAUAUUUCUUUUUUAUAUUAAUUUAUAGUUACUCGUUAUUAUAUCUUCUUAUGUUAUUUUAAUUAUCUCUCAUAUUUAUUAAAUUGAAAUUAAUUUUUUAAAUGAGAUUUAUUUUUUAUGUAUUAUAAAUUGAUUUUAUUUUCUGUGGAUGUGAGAUUUAUAAAAAACAUUUAAAUAUAUUUUUAAAACAGUUUUGGUUAAGUUUAAACUCUUAGAAGUGUGGUAAGAUUUUGAAAAACAACAUUAAGUUGAAUAUUAGUUUCAAGAGUAUUAUUUUUUAAAGAAUAUAAGUUUUAAGAGUUGAAAAAUAAGUUAUAUUAGUAGGUGUAAAGUAUAACCUAUAAAAAUUUGUAAAGCAUAAUUCACCCUCUUUAAUUAAGAUGGUUAAUUAACUAUAAUCAAUUUGAUGAACAUUCAAAUUCAAACUAAAAUUUACUUUUGAUUUGGUUCAUAAACUGUUGUCUUAUAAUGAUUGGAUUUUUCUCUUCUUUUGUUAAAGGAGUGUAAUUUGUUUUCCUGUUACCAAUUUCUCUAAUUGACUUAACUAGAUUGUCAUAUCGAAAGGGAUAUUGUAAUUAUUACUAAUCGGAAAAAUUUCAUAUGAUUUCAUAAAUCAUAUUUAUUUAUAAACUUUCAAGCUGUUGAACAAUGCUAAAGUGUUAAAUGAUGACAAAUGAGUAAAACUAGUUAACUGCAUCUGCUAUUUUGUAGUUACAUGUAUAAUUAGUGGAAUAAUAACUUAUAUUAAAACAAUUUUAAUGCUGUAAAAAAAAUAAUUAGUUAAUUUUAGUUAAGUCCCUAAUUCGGUAUUAUUAUUUUAAAUAAAAGAACGAUUAUCUAAACUUAUUAAUUUCAUGGAUGUUUAUAAUUUUAUAAAAUAAGCAUCGUAUAUUCGAUUCAACAAAUAAAAUUAUACUAACUUGGGAUUCAAAAAUAAAAAAGGAAAUUAAAAAAGGAAACUAAAUAUUUAAUUAUGAAACCAUAUAGACGGUCAACAUCAUAAUGAUUACUCUUGAAAAUUUUGGUAGGCUGCUGUAAAAUUUCAAGACAAAAGAGGGUAAUAUCAUGAUUAGGGAGCUUCAUAUGAUUUAUCUGGACCAUCCCUUUUAUUUUUACCUACACUCACCAACAUUAAAGUUCCUCAACAUAGUUUUUUAAUAUGCAUUUCAAUGUGUUAAAAAAUUUCACUGAAGAUAACUUCAAUAAAAAUCAAGCAUUAUAAAGUGAAUAUUCUUUUUGUUGUAGUUUCUUGGUCAUUUUUUUUGGAUUUAUCAAAAGUCAAAAUCAACUAUUAACUUUAGUUUUGAUGAGAGAAACCUUUUGGACCAUUUUAAUUAAAAUUGUUUUAAAUCAUUUCUUGGAAAAUUAUCUUUUAUUGCUAUUAAACAAUAUUAAUAAACAAUAAUUUUAUCAUAAUUAUUGACGAAAAUUUUAUUAAAUCUAGCUAAAAUAGAAUAUAACAGUCUUUGAUUAAAAAAUAAUUUAGAUCUUAGAUAUAAAAGGAUUGUGGAUUUUCAAUUAUUAACUCUAUUAUUUGAUAUUUUUUAUAUGUAGUAAUUAAAACGUUUUAUUUAAAUAAAUAAUUAAAAUUCACUAAAUUUCAAUUAUCUUAUUAAAAUAUCAUGUUUAAAAAAUAUUAAGUUAAAAUUUAAUUAGAUUUGAACUUUUAUUAUAUUUUUAACAGAGUUUUUAUUAAUUCUUUAGUUAUUUAAUAUUUAAUUUUUUAUACAAGGCUUCUUGUUUGAUAUUAGAUUUUUUUUAAAUAUAAAUAAUAUCGAUUUAGAUAUAUAUAAUCAAUUAAUAUAAUUUUAAGCUAAUAAGUAUAAAUAUUUAAGCAAAAUGAUAAAACAGAUUUCUCUCACUCCUCUCGCAAUGAAUUCCUUUCCGUUCCCGCUUUUUCUCACUUGUUCAAAAAUGUUCUCCGUUCAAAGAUCGAUGGUGGUGGGGCACCGCCUCUAUUGCAGUCCACCACCGUCCAAACCAAUUCCUUCGUCGGAAGAAGAAAAGAAGAAAGUAGAGAAGAUCAACGAGGAAAAGAAAGAAGUUGAAGAAAAGAAGACAAAAGAGGUAAAGAUGGAAGCGAACAAACAUGAUCCCUGGUCGCUUACUUCUUUGUUGUUAAAGCACCAAGAGGCAAAACUGAAGAAAGGGGAUGAGGAUCUGGCGAAGCUACACACUGUAAUUUUUAAAUUGAGGGCAACGAGAAACAUAAAGAUGAAGAAGAAAGAGGAUGAGGAUCUGCCGAAGCACCGUGCCCUAAAUCUUAACUCGAGGGCUUUGUCGAAGCAUCGCGCCGUAGAUCUUAAAUCGAGGACACUGACGGCGAGAUACAUAAAGCUGAAGAUGAAAGGGACGCCGAUGAGCCCCGUCCAAAUUCUAAAAGAAAGGGCAAUGAUCUAAAAGAAAGGGCAAUAAUGGCGAGAAACAAAAAAAAAGGAUAUUGGUAGGAAAAAGGUUAAUAAAUACCUUCAUAAUUAAAUUAGUUUAGUUUGGAUGUAUAGCUAUAAGGAUUGUAACAAAUAUGUUUGUAUUGAUGUUGAAAGAGUAACCAACGUACAAUAUAUAGAAUGUACAUAACCAAGCGUACAAUAAUUAACGUACAAUAAUUAAUGAAAAAAUAUAUCAAUUAUUUAGAUGUUAGGUAUAAAAGUAUUGUGGAUUUUCAAUUAUUAACUCUAUUACUUGAUAUUUUUUUAUAUGUAGUAAUUAAAAUGUUUUAUUUAAAUAAAUGAUUAAAAUUCACUAAAUUUCAAUUAUCUUAUUAAAAUAUCUUGUUUAAAAAAUAUUAAGUUAAAAUUUAAUUAGAUUUGAACUUUUAUUAUAUUUUCAACAGAGAUUUUAUUAAUUCUUUAAUUAUUUAAUAUUUAAUUUUUUAUACAAUGCUUAUGGUUUGAUAUUAGAUUUUUUUUAAAAUAUAAAUAAUAUCGAUUUAGACUAUAUUUAAUCAAUUAAUAUAGUUUUAAGCUAAUAAGUAUAAAUAUUUAAGGAAAAUGAUAAAAAACAAUUCUCUCUUGAAAUGACUUCCCGCUCCCGCUCUUUCUCACUUGUUCAAAAAAGUUAUGCGUACAAAGAUCGACAGUUGUGGGGCGCCGCCUCUAUUGCAGCCCACCACCGUCCAAACCAAUUCCAUCAUCGGAAGAAUAAAAAAACAAAGUAGAGAAGAUCAACUGGGAAAAAAAAGAAGUUGAAGAAGAAAAGAUGACAAAAGAAGUAAAGAUGGAAGCGAACAAACAUGAUCCCUGAUAGCUUACUUCUUUGUGGUUAAAGCACCAAGAGGCAAAACCGAAGAAAAAGGAUGAGGAUCUGGCAAAGCUACGCACAGUAAUUUUUAGAUUGAGGGCAACGUCGACAAGAAACAUAAACAUAAAGAUGAAGAAGAAAGAGGAUGAGGAUCUGCCGACGCACCGUGCCCUAAAUCACUGACGACGAGAUACAUAAAGCUGAAGAUGAAAGCGACGCCGAUGAGCCCCGCCUAAAUUCUAAAAGAAAGGACAAUGAUGGUGAGAAACAUAAAAAAGGAUAUUGGUAGGAAAAAGGUUAAGAAAUACCUUUAUAACUCAAUUAGUUUAGUUUGGAUGUAUAGCUGUAAGGAUUGUAACAAAUGUGUAUGUUUAUCAUGUGGAUCAUGGUGUUAAAGAAAAAAGCACCAUCAGUAUUAGCCAUAUGGAAGAAAAGAAAAGAAGAAAGGAUUAGGAAGGAUCGAAAUUAGGUUGGUACCAUGUAAGGAUUGUAACAAAUGUGUAUGUUUAUCAUGUGGAUCAUGGUGUUAAAGAAAAAAGCACCAUCAGUAUUAGCCAUAUGGAAGAAAAGAAAAGAAGAAAGGAUUAGGAAGGAUCGAAAUUAGGUUGGUACCAUGUAAGGAUUGUAACAAAUGUGUUUUAUUGAUGAUGAAAGAGUAACCAGCGUAUAAUAUAUAGAAUGUAAAUAACCAGCGUAACAUACAAUAAUUAACGUACAAUAAUUAAGGAAAGAAUAUAUCAAUUAUUUAAGACAGAAUCAAUUAUGCAGAAACUAAAUAAGGUAAACUAUAAUCAAAUAUAUUAUUUCCUAUCAAUAGCUUUUCUUCUAUGCAGCUAUGGCAACCCUUACUUCUUUGAUAUUACAAACAAGGUUACAUACCUAAUUUUACUGUAUUGGCAACCCUUACUUCUUGAGAAUUUGUUUUCUUCCUCAUUUGUAUAUUGUUUAUCUUUUAUCAUUUUGUAUCUUGUUAUUUUAACUAAGUUUUAAUAAGAAUUAAAUUAUGGAGUAUCAUGUCUUUAGGAGUUGGUGAAUUUGUAGAAUUGUAGAAAACCUAAAUCUGUUUAGUAGAAGUCUUGGGAGUCAUUUUAAAUGAUUCAAAUUUGUGAAACUUGUGGGAUGAAAACAGUGAUUUAAAUUAGUGGCAUUAUAUGAGAAUUUGUUGGGAUGAUCUUUUAAUGAUGCUAAGGAGGUCUUCUAUGACAUGGCUAACAUAACUGUCGUCUCCUGGACAACCAUGAUUAUUGCCUGUGCUUUGAAUGGAGAUGUUAUAGAUGCUUUGGACCUAUUUUUUAUGAUGUUAGAAAUGGGGAUGGAACCAAAUCACAUAACAUUUCUUGCUGUUCUCCAAGCUUGUGCACAUGGAGGUUUACUAAAAAGCGGAUUGGAGUGCUUCAACAUGAUGACACAAAAGUAUGGCUUAAGCCUUGGUAUAUAUGGUUGAUCUUCUUGGUCGUAAAUGACAUCUCAAAGAAGCUUUAGAAAUUAUUAGAAGUAAUGCUGGCAUAUGGAGUGCAUUGCUCUCUACUUGCAAACUUCAUGAUAAGAUAGAGAUGGGUAAGUAUGUGUCUGAACAGCUAUUUGAAUUGGAGCCCCAAGUGGCAGUUCAAUAUGUGGAGAUGGCUAACAUAUGCAUCAGCCGAAAUGUGGGAUGGAGUUGCAGACAUCAGAAGGAAGAUAAAUAUCUUCGACUACUGAUGAUAUGCUAGAUGGCCUAGCUUCCCAUUCUAAGAAGGGACUGCUAGGCUAUGCAGAGGAGAUGGUUGAAGGGUGGAUUGGGAAUGAAUGCAAAAAUUAUGAAUAAUAAUAAAAUUACAAAAUUAAUAAAAUAAUAAUAAUAAUAAAUGGUAAUUUUUCUACUACAAGACAAGUUAAUGUAUCUUUUUCACUUUCACUACUGUGGAAACCUAAUUUGUUACGGAGACUUUCCUCUUUCACCUUUAUUGGACUCUAUUGCAUCCACCUUUAUUUUGGUCAAUUCUGUAACCUAAAGUCUUCUUUAAAUUUGAAAUUUGAAUUUAAAAUUGUCAAUGUUGAGCUAUGAUGCCUUAACGUGUUACAAUUCAUGCCUCAAUAAGGACAUUAAUUUUAUGAUAUGUAUUAGCAAUAAUUUUAUCAGAACUUUGUAUUUGUAUUGGUAUUCAUAUUUCGAAUUCAUAUUUUAUAUCUUUAAUUUUUUGUUAAUUUAAUAUGUUACAAUUAACUAUACUUUUGUUAGUUUAUUGUUGAAUCCUAUAGUAUUUAAGAACAAUAUAUAAUGAGGUCUUUAAUGUUUUUUUAGUAGUUUUGUUUUGUGAUGUAUAUGGUCAACAAUUUUAUCAGGAUUUUGUAUUUAUAUAUUGACAUUCUUCUAUUGACAAUCAAUAUGGAAGUUAAAUUCAAUUUAUUAGCCUUUUUACAUUUUUGCAGUCUAACCCUUAUAACCUGACCUUAAUAUUAAAUAGGGAUGAGAGGUAUUAAAGAUCCUUAUACAUAUUUUAUUAGAAAAAUACAAUCAUCAUUAACACUCAUAUGCAGUAUAAGAGCCACAAAUUAUACAAUUUUAAAAUAUUUUAAAAUAACUGUUACAAUUUAUUCGUUUUAUUUAUUUAUUCCUGAAAUAAAUAUUAUUGAUCAAAAUUGGUUAUUUAAAAUUUCGGAAAGAUUAAAACUAAAAUUCGUAUAUUGUAUGACGAUUACAAUUUUUCAUAUUUUCGAAGUAUUACAAACAAGGAAAAUCUUUUAUAAAGGCCAAAACUGAAAUACAUCUGUUUUAAAAACAUGUUUAAGUCUAUUUUGUAUUUUUAAAUUGAAAAAAAAAGGUGGACUAAAACAUUUAAAAGUGUAAUACAGAAAUUGAAAUUUUUAAUCUUUCAUCAACUUAACCAAAUUGGGUCAAUCACAUCCAUUAUCAACAAACCCUCCUCUUUUUGUUAUUUUGGGCCUCUGAAGGACCAGAUGGGAUCAGGCCUUUUAUUUGGAAGGCAAUUGAGCCUUGUGUAAGGCGUCUGCAAAUGAAAAAAAAAAAGUGUCCUUUUCGCAUUUUUUUUUUAUUGCGAUUUGAUCUUCAAUUGUUGAAUAUAAAGAUGAAACCUGGAAAAUUUGACCCACGAGCCUCUAGAUAUUUCAUAAUGUGACUAAUAGGUUGUUUUAAUUUUUUUUAAUACUUUUUCUUAAUUAUUAUAAUAAACUUUGUCAUCUUAAACUCAUCUAUAAUUUACUAUUACAUGACAAUGAAUUAAAAUAAAAAAUAUAAAAACAUGGAGAACUACAUCAAACCUAAGAUAAAAAGAAAAUUACAUUUAACGAAGCAUAAACAAAUUAUAUUAUUUAAAAAAAAAUCUAAAGAAAUAUAUGAAAACAAAACAUUAAAUUACAUAUGCGAUUAUCAAUGAAUAAAAGUCAAACAAACUAAUUUAUCAUCGUAAUGAUUUUAUUUAUAAAAAUAUGAAAAACUUUGUAUAUGUUUACAAAAUACAUGCAUCUAUGCUAUCUCUAUUUAAAACUCCAAAGAAUCAUCCAUUUACCUAAAAGCCUUGAUAAACUAAGGUAGAAUCAGUCUCCAACUAAAGUUUUUUAAAACCCUUCUUCCAAAAAGUAUUCUAAAACAUAAAUGAUUCAUAUAAACUUAAUAUAAAUAAAUGUUUUUAUCCCUAAAAAAAUUGAAAACCUAUAUAGAUAUUUACCCGACUUAUUUUAAAAAUUAGCUAGACCAAGACAAUCUUGAACUGCACAAUCAGUGUUUCACCUUAAGCCAAUUAUCAUAUAAAAGUUGUCAUAUAUUUAGGUUAAAUGUUAGUCCCUAAAUUUAUUGGAAUUCAUUUUUGUCCGAAACUUUGAUACAUUUUAGUCUUCAAACUUUAAAAAUGAAUGAAUAUAAUUCUUUCAAUCUAAUUACGUCAAUUUUUUAAUGUGUCAUACAUUUUAUAUUAAUAUUUAAAUUGUUUACAUUGUUUGAUAUGUAUCCGAUUUAAAGUUAGUUGAAAAAAAUAUUUGACCCAUAAAAAAUUUAACAUAAUUAGAUUAAAAUAAUUAUAUCUAUUAUUUUUAAAAUUUAAAAAUUAAAAUAUAUAAAAUUUUUGAAAAUAUACAUAUUUUAUGUAAAAAUUGAGAAAUUAAAAUGUAAAAUGUAAUACAUGAUAAAAGGUUAAUUUAGCGAGGGAUGGAGAAAUCCUUUGUGAUCGUCUCUUGCAGGGAAUCUUUGCCUAUAUCCCUUGAAAUCCGAAACAUGUCUCUCGUAUUAUUGCUGGGAAAGAACUGUUUAAUUUUUUAGCUGUUCAUAGCAAUAUAUAUAUAUAUAUAUAUAUAUAUAUAUAUAUAUAUAUAUAUAAAUUACAACUUCUGUUCUCAAAAUAAAAAAGAGUAACCCUCUGGUAAUUUUGUUAUUGCAUGCAUGCAUGUUUCGUACCUUUUUUUAAAAAUAAUGUUGUUUUAAAGGUUUAGGAAAAUUAUAAAUUUAAAGUAAAGGAAAACCUAUUACAAGUUAAUUUAAAUAUAGGGAUAUGUUUGGCUUGGAUUUUAGGUAGAACCAUCAAAUCAGUUUUAGAUUUUCAACCAAGUAUGAUUUGUUUGAAAAUUUUAUUUUAUCUAGUUAGAAAUAGAAUUCAUCUUAAUUAACUUAAUAUCUAUAAUGUAUUUUUUAACUAUAUAACUUAAUUUAAUUUGCAAAUGAGGCCCAAAAUACAAAUACCCCUUUGCUAUGUACCAUAAUACUUCCAAUCUACCUAGGAUUUAUUGGUUUUGUUACAAUCAAACCAAGUCUUAAUUUGGAUAAGGAUUUUCAUAAUUUGUAAGAUUUUUAAGUACAUUAAAGUUGGAGGGAUUUAUUUUUUUUAAAUAUUUUAUAUAAAUAAAAAAAAUUUAAAAUUAAUAGAUUUUAAUUUUCUUAUUUAAAUAAAAUAUUUUAAUUAUCACUAAAUAUAAAAAAUUUAAAUAUUAAAUAAUUGUUAAAAGUUAAAAAAUAUUAAAAUUAAUUCAAAAUAUAUUAUUAUUGAUUAUGUUUUUGUAGACUAUCUUGAUUCAUAUUAUUUUCCGAUAAAAGUUUAUCAAUUCUUUUAACUUAUAUUUGCAAAAAUUAUUCUUGAUUCACAUUAAUUAAUAUAUAUAUUAUUUUCAAUUGAUGUUGAGCACGUUGCGUUAAAUAAGGUGAUUUUUUUGAUGUUGAUGAUUAUAGUUUUCUUUUUGGCAGCUUUUAUUUUUCUUUAUUAUUGCGGAUUGAAAAAUUUCACAUAGUUAAAACUUAAAAAAAUAAUUUUAAUUAUUCGUAUAGUGACUAUGUAUACAGGUUAUAAUUCAUGGUAUCAUAAUUAUAAAUAAGAUAAUACUUUUUCACAUCAAUUGUAAUUGUAAUUAUAAUCUAUAGAAAGUAGAUGUAAUGAUAUUUAUAUAAUAAAUAAGAAAAUUUUCUAUACUAAUUUUAAUUAUAACUAAUAUAAAAAAUUAGAUAUAGUUACAUUUUUUUUGUAAUAAAUAAGAAAACUUUCUAUACUAAUUCUAAUUAUAUCCCAUAUAAAAAGUGAACGUGGUGACAUUUUUGUAAUAAAUAAGAAAACGUUUUAUAUCAAUUUUAAUUAUAACCAUGGAGUUCUUAUGAGUUAGGCUACCGAAAAGCAAAUGCAUUUGUUGAUAUGAGUAGCCAAAUCAAUUCCUUUAAGCUACCCUUCAACUGUAUAGUCCCAUACCUAUACAGUUUUCAGAUCCCUCUCAUUCCGGUGUAUGUUCAAUUCGUCCAUGUGCCCCUUCCACCCGAAGCCUGCCAGGAGCCGCUCCUUGUCCGUGCCCCUGCACCAUGCCUCUUGCACCGGCGAUCACUCCCCGGCCUCGUCAGUGCCCGGGUGUCACAAUUGUCUCUGUCAGUUCUUCUUCUCACGAUGAGGCUCUACACUUGCUACUGUGAGCACACAUGGGUCUCCUUUGCUUGCACCUGAACACCCUCAUCCAUUGAGAGGAAACAAUGUUCGAGUAAGGAGGCACACAACGAUAAACAGUGCAUACGAUCAUUGGUACUUCUGGAACUAUAUAUUCAGUUUGUUGUUGGUUCUACUGGAUCUGCUUUCUGUGUCACAAAAACUUCUCUACCUAGUUAGAUUUGUUAAGCUUGCUGCUAUUAAUACUUUAUUCACUAAAUUGGAAUAUUUGGCUUCAAGAACAUUAAAUCUAGUGGAGAGAUCUCGAUUUUAUAUUUUAUACUAUUGUUUAGGGAUGUCUGAUCUUCAUUUCGUGCGCUCAAAUUUGAACAUUGUAGUAUGUAUAAGAAAUUGAUUAAGACAGGUACAAAUGGAUGAAGGCAACCAACUUCGAUCAACAACGUCUGGUCGAGCUCAAUAAUGUCUGGAUAAGCUCAAUGACAUCUUGCCGAGCUUAACAUCAUCUUCGAUAAGCUCAAUAAAAUUUGGCCGAGCUCAUCAAUUCAGUCCACGAUCAUGGUGGCUGACCUCUCGUUGUUACUAUUUUAUUCAUUUCCUUAUUUCAACACUUGAAAUUUUUAAUAUAUCACUAUUACAAAAAGUUUAGGUUCUAAUGAGGUUGAUUUAGUCUAGGAAGAUAACUUUUGAAAUUCUAAGAUGAUUUGAACGAAUUUUUCUAUAUUGAUUAUACAUUUAACCAAUAUAAAAAAUGACACUUUUAUAUCUUGAUUUUGGAAUCGAUAUAAAAAAGCAAUACUUUUUAUACUUCCUUUUCCUAUACCAAUUCUAGAAUCGAUAUAAAAAUCCCUUUUUAAUAGGUAUAAAAAGAUUUUUCUUAUACCAGUGAACUGAAUAGAUUAUAUUAACUCUAAUUAACAAUAAUUAGACAUAUUGUAACAUUCCAAAAUAUAGUAUUUAACUCUAUAAUAGUCAUCACAUAUUUAAUAAGAUAGAUUAGUUAUAGACCGAAAUAUAAAGUGGAAUUUACAAAAACAACUAUAAAAUAACUUUAUAUACAAACAGGUUAACCAAAACUAAUUACACAAGCUAGUAUAAAGAAAACUAAGCAACAACAUCUCCUCCAUGAAGUGUCUGCUCCAAGGAAAACUCAUAUCCCUUUGCUCACACCCACAGGAUGAUCAUAACAAAGAAAAGAAACCAAAGGAACAUGCAAACACAAGCACAAUAAAAAAGGUAAGCUAGAAUACAACCCUUUGAUUUGUUAAACACAUGUUAAACAUUCACAUAAGAACACAUAGCACAUAGAACCAAACAAACACUUUAUGCAUGACAACCCUUUGACUUAACUAUCUAAAUCAGUAUGAAUAUUGAGUUAUGACAGUUCAUGCACCUGCUGUGGUGAAAGAAUUGGCCCACCGUAAGUUACCACACAAGGUUAGUCCGUUAUUACUCGCCUUAGGCCAAGGUAAAGCCCAUACACUAAGACCUCCGACUAUUUUCAAAUAUGCCUCACCCCUCUCUACUUGAGAAUGGAUGACCAUUAGAAUGUCAGGAUGAACUCCAAUACUAAGCUUCCCAUAUUCAUACACACAAUACUUGAAACAACCACUUAGAAGUUCCUCCUUGGAACUCUCUUUACCAACAUUGAAACCAUCAACAUACAUAUCUCUACUUUUACAUUGCAUAGCAACAUAUAUAACCUUUAAUCAUACUUUUAAAAAAAUUAAACACUGAGUAGUGCUCAAAAGCUGGUGCCUAGCAGAACAGAAAGAUAGUGCCUAGGCACUAAAGAGUUGGCGCUCAGCGCCUGAAAACAGAAAGGUAGUGCCCAAGCGCUAGAGGGAUGAUGCUCAAUGCCAUGGCAGAAGCACAAACACUAAAAACCAGACUUUGGACACUUCACCCCCAACCUCUAAAGAUCUCUAGGACCCUCCUAACCCUGAAAAAACUCUAAAAACACUAUUGUAACUCAAUUUGACACUUUAAAACCCAAAUUCAUUCCUACAAGCUACCCAAUUUCAAUUCUACACUUUCCAACACCCAUAUCAAUUUACAAGUUGUAUAAACAAGUCUAAAUACACUUGUUAGCACUCUCCAAUACCUCACUUUCAUCCCAGUCAUCCUACUUUCCAUUUCCAACACCUAAAACCUCCAAUAAGGACUAAGAAACUCCCUAUGAGAUAUUUAUCACUUCCAUGACAGAUUUUUCUGAUAUAAACCUCUAGACAAAUCUUAAUUGGUCUCAUAACAUACUCCAAACUCUCCAAAACAUUUUAUACCACUUACCUCAAAAUUUUACAACUCAAAACCCCCUUUUUAUACCAAAAUCACUUGUAAACUUCAACUAUGAACCACCUCUUUGCUACAUAUUAAUUUUCAACCAUCUAACACUUCUAACAAGUCCCAAUUAACCAUAUAACAAUGCUAAAUCAAUUAUCGUCUCACUCUAAUAACUAUUUCUCAAAUUCAUUCAUCAAAAUCCCCCUUUGUAAGCUUAAAAACCAAGUAAAUUGACCAACGUUUCCAACAAACACUAGAAAAACAUUAUCACACACAAUCAUAACAACAACAACAUUGAUAAUACACCAUACCGAGCAUACAAACUUCAUACAAUCACUUAUCAUCAUUUAAUCACCAAUAGCAUUAACAACAACAUAGCAAUUUUACUUAAAUCAUCAUAUCAUUAAUAAAAAUUCUAAACUCAAACCACAAACAUAUAACUAAGAUAAUGUCUAGCUUUCCUUACCUCACAAUAAACUGCCGACUCUAACAACGCCUCAUCGAUUGCUUGUACCGCAAGAAAUAUCUAAACAAACCUACGAAACACCAAAUUGGAAGUGGACAAAGUCCUUAGAACUUUAGAUUAACCAAGAAUGAAUAGGAGAAGCAUGAUCACAAAUGCAACGACCAUUAUUUCUUCUAAAAACAUAUUAGCAACGAGAGAGGAAAAAUGAGUCAAAACUUACUUACUCUAUGACAGAAAUUGAUCAACUAUAGAUGUAGAUCUCAACGCCAUGAUCAAUUAGACACCUCUUGAUCGUCAAUGAGAUAACUCAGGAGUUAGAAAUUUUAGAGAAAAGUGAAAGGAAACAAGGAGAAAGGGUUUUAGAGAGAUAAACUGUGUUUUAAGUAAUGAGACGAGUUUCGAAAAUUCUAUUUAUAUUAUUCAAUUAUUUUAAAAUAAAAUAACUGGUCUCAUUAUUUUAUAACACCUACCAACUCUAAUACUUUAUUUUCUAGAUUCUUACACAUAUAACUUUGUUUUUCUAUACUAGUGAACUAAAUAGAUUAUAUUAACUCUAAUUAAUAAUAAUUAAACUUGAUUGAAUAAAAAAGAAAAUAUAAAGGGUAAAAUGAAUCAAAGACUUUAAACCAAAUUAUUAAUUAGGCCUUUAGCUCUUGCUUAAAAAUUAGAUGAUUUUAUUUUAUAAAUUAAAAUUUUAGAAAUAGUUAACAUAAUUUUUUUUUUUAAAAAAAAAACCUAUACGGAAAAGGUUUUAUAAAUUAAUUUUUACAUUAGUUUAAAUAUAACUGAUGAAAAUAUCCAUUUUUAUUUUUUUAUUUUAAAAGUGUGUAUAUAAAUUUUUUCCAAAUAUAUGUUUAGCCAUCGAAGGUUCUAGAAAGAAAUUAUCCCGAGAAAACUUUAUGGGUUGGUUAUAUACUCCAAUCAUUACACAUAUCUACCCUUCGAAUUUCAAAGCAUCGAAAUUUCUCACUAGAAAUAUCUAUUUAUCUUGUCAUCGAAGUGGGCAAGCUUGCAUCUUUUCAAUGUUAAACAUGAUUUCAACCAUUUGGUUUACCUUUCAACUCUUAUUAUGACGGUUUGAUAAUAUUCAAAACUUUUAUAAUUUUAAGAGAGUUUUGGGCGUAUGCAAAUAAUAUAAUAAAAAAAUAAAUUAGUAUAGUUAUGACCUGUGUGUAUGGUUUUUCUAUUAGGCAAUUAGUGUUGGAAAGACUUUGUAUUUUGGGGAAAUGAUUGAGUUGUGAUUCAAAAAGUGUAAUAUUCAAUGUUUUGACUUUAUGUUGUUACAUUAAUAGUCGAUGUUGACAAAGUUGCUAAUGCCCUACAACAUGCCCAACAAGUUUUCUAGUUUAUCCAUUAACACUGUUUUUUAUCCUUACUCCUUAGACUUGAAAUUUCAACACAUAAAUUUAGUAUGAAAAGUACGACCAUGUGCAGCAAUAAAGAACUUUACGUUUUGAUAAUGCGUGCGAACUUGUCAAUUUCAUUGGCUUCAAUAUUGUGGUAAAACGUGUUUUGUGGCUACAUGCAACACUGUCCAAACAUAAAUUCACUCUUUUUUUUCUAUGAUUAGAGCACCUUGAUAUUGUGCUAGAUGUUGCACUUAGACUCUCUUCUGUUCUCUUGUGCUGUGGUCCCUUCCUUUUCCUUCCAUCAUUUUGCAGCAUUUCUGUUCUUAUACCUUUUAUUUUAAUGUAAAAUGGGGGAAUUCGAUUCACCACUCACUUUCACUUUUUCUUGCAACCAAAUGUAGCUUAGGAUUCUGGAUUUCGGAAUUAAGUAUCAACUUCAACCAGGGCAUCAAUGUCUAUCUGACUUUCAGAAAAACAAAUAUCUCAAAAGAAUGUCCUCAAACUCUCAAUACACCACACUGGAGAGUAUUAGAAAUUUAAGUCUGAGUUAAAGUCUCACGUUGGAUAAAAAUAAAAAAGUAGAGUACUAUAUAAAUGUGAAAUACCAUUGUCUUAUUGUCUUAAGGUUAUAGAGAGUAGUAUUAGAAGUCCCACAUCAACUAGAGAUAAGACCAAUUCAGGAUAUAGAUAUCGUUAAAGCCUAUCCCAACAAUAUUUAAGCGUGAGGAAGUGUGUUGAAAGUCCCAGGUAUUGUGUCUCUCAUAUGAACCUCCUCCUUGAUAGACCACCAUGAAAAUCAUUAAUGAUUUAACCAACCUUGGAAUUUCAAUUUCAGAAAUUUCUCUCUUUGCUACACACUCAUUUUAAAAUAACCCAACAAUUCAUCAAUUUUUCUUUUGUUUGUCAUUUCUAAACACUAUUUCAUGCACACUCCAAAAUAAACUCUUGAAGACAAAGAAGGUGAAAGAUUGAUAUAUGUGAAUGAUGAUUUGGAAGACAUGAAGUUUAUUUAUACCCUAAUUCAUAAGAUUUUUCAUCUUUAGCAGAGAAAAGCAUAUAUAAGUUUGUCUACAAACUUGAGGAACUAAAUUAUGAUGUACAUAUGUUAGAAGAGGGUGGGGACAAUAAAUUGUAAGAAUCUUUAGCUGACAGGGUACCAAAUAAAUUUUUACACUGAACAACCUGUGAUAAUAUGUAUGCAUGUUUGCAGUGAGCCAGUGGGACAUAUAUCAGCAGUUUCUUACAGGGGUAAAUGUAGUAUUACAGAUUAAAAACUGCUUUCUUUCUUUUUAAAAAACUCAGUAAAAUUAUUAGGAGUGAGAGAACGUUUUAUUCAAAUAUAGAAAUAAUGAAAGAUAUUUGUUUUUUGAAAUUUGCAUAAUUAUAGAAAAUUUGGAAAUACACAGUUCUGGGUUAGUCUAUGGAAUUUGGUAUAUUUUUAUUUAAUAUAGUAUGGUAAUGUAUGUGAUGGAGUAGGAGUAGGCUAUAGAGAAAGUCAAUGCCAUAUAUUAAACUCUUUUUGACGGUUUCUGUUUUCUGUGUCAUAACAUAACAUAACAUAACAACACCCUUGUUUCACCAUAAUUCUAUCUAUCAACAAUCCAAACCUUACCAUUUCGAUUCGAACCUUUCGUUUCAAUCCCCACCUUCUUUUCUACGCGCGUGCUUCUCACUUCCACCAUUUUUCUUUUCAUCUUUUUAAAAAUAAAUCGUUAAACCAUGCUAAAUAAAUUCAAGUUCAUAAAUAUCAAAUCUUCUACAGGAUAAAUUUAAAAUGUAUUUAGAGUUUGACGUUAAAAGUAUUUUAAUUUUAAUUUUAAUUUUAAUUUAAAAGCAAGAAUUAAAUAAGAUGGUCAGCAGCAUUUUAUAGAGGAAAUGAGUACUUUAAAAUAAAGGAACCUAGCAUUUACAACUAGUAGAUAAUUGUUUUUAUUUAAUUUAAUAAUAAUAUCAAAUCUUCAUUUAACAUACCCACAUACCCCAUAGGCAUUAAACAAAUCAAAAUUCGUUUGUAAAGGUUUUUGACUUUAAAAAAGGUAUAGUUUUAGGGUAAGUUCUAGAUAUAAGGUGGAUCAAUUACAUUUAUAGGAUAUAACAACUUACGAAAUGAAAUUAGUUGAUAUUAAGUCGAAAUUUUGAAUUUUUUUUUCUUACAGGGUUUGGUCAUUUACUAGUUGAAUACACUGAAUAUGAAUAUUCUUUUUGAACUCCAUGUUUCAACCCUUCUUCAUUUAUAAGUUAAUUAUUGAUAUCUUCACAAGAUUAUACAAACAAUUUAUCCAAACAAUUAGGCUUUUUCCACAUGUGGUAAAGUUUAUUGGCAUUAUCAUUAUGGUUUUUCCAUUUCUUAAAUUUAUCAUCUAUAAAUGUGUUUGCACAUAUAUAGACACCAGUGAAAACUAUCAUUUUAUAACAAUCUUUUAUAUUGAUUAUAUUGUAAUAGAUAUAAAAAAAGUAACGUAAUGACAUAAUUGAUUAUAUUGUAAUUGAUUAUAUAGUGAUUCUUCUUUUUCCUAAGGAUAAUGAUAUUUUGACACUUAAAUUCUAACAAAUUUUUGAUACCGAACACGUGUCAUAAAUCAAUUGGUCAGUGUGUUUAAUGUUUAAAAAAAUUGAAGCACAUGGACCAAUUAACUUAUGAUACAUGUUCGGUGUUAAAAAUUUGUUAGAAUUUGAAUGUCAAAGUAUCUUUAUCCUUUUCUUAAUUAGGCCACAUUUGCACAAUCACAUCACCAAGAGGUCGCCACCUUGACGCUAAUGUUGAUGAUUAUCUUUGCCGAUGUAAGUUCUUCUUCUCUCCCCAUCUAUUUUCUCUGCUUGAAGGUCAUCUCCUUGCAUCACUCCUCCACCGCCUGCAACGUUGAUUGCAACCAAAUCUGUCACUGGCUAGAAACAAUGCUUUGUUACAAAGUUCAUAGGAAACAACAAUAAACCUAUGAAAACUCAAACAUUAUUGUUGAGUCCUGGCUUUGGAGUUGGCAUCAGAUACAAUGUCGAAAUAGGUUUGGGUUUGGUUUGUGUGUUAAGGGUCAGAGGUUGGUUGCCCUUCAACCACCUUGGCUUGAUUUACGACAUGAGAAUGUGUUGUGAAAUUGGUGUUUGCUUCAGUUUCAGCCAAUUCUUUAACUACCAAAACAUUUUUAAAUCCCAGCAAAAUAAAAUAGGCCUUAUUCAUAUUUGAUUAUAUUAUUUUUCUUUCUCUCCAAGUUUAUUGUUCAUCUUCUAAAUUUGUCACCUUUAAUUGAUUUUCUAAGCAAAAUAUUAUCAAAUGCUUUAUUUGAUUUGAUUUAGUCCAUGAAAUAACAAUCACAUGAUUGUAACACGACAACAAAGUCUCAUGCUGUAUAUUGUGAUUUCAAGAUAGUAUAUCCAUCUCGAAGUGCUUGUCCUUUCCUUUCUUGAAUUUUUUACUGGUACUAAUUUUAUGAUACAUUACAAUGUAAACAUGUUGAACUUUGCUUUUGGUGCCAUAAACCUUAUAAUUAAAAUGUAACAUAAUCUUCAACUCUUGUUAUGUUUCAAUUUAGCAUUUAUAAUGUUUUUAUCAUUCUAGUUUUGUUUCAAUAAGAUUGAAUUUAGCAUUUAUAAUCCCCUAUAUAUUUUCUUUUUAAUAAACAACACCUUAUAUACCUAUUGUUAUUAUAUCUAUUAUAAAAAAAAAAACUUUUUAUAUCGAUUUUAAAACAAGUAUAAAAAGUUCCAUACUUUCUAUACCCUUACUAUUAUUUUAAUUCCAAAUAUAGAAUACAUUUUUUAUUUUGUAAAAAAAAUUUACAAUGAAAUUUUGCCCUAUCAAAAAAGAGCAUAAUAAACAAUUAACAAGGUGUUCAAUUAAUAUGAAUUUCUAUCAAAUAGAAAAAUUUAAAAUGGUCAUGGAUUUUUCUUUCCCUUUUGAAAAAUAUAUUUUACAUUUGUUUAUUGAUAUCAACUGCCGUAUUGAUAAAUAUUUUUUAUUAAUAAAAUUCUAAUAAAUCUAAUAUCAUACUCUAUAUAAUAAUAACAUUAAUUUCUUCUACGAUUCAAAAGAGGGUUUAUUAUGCAUAGAACUUUGUGAAAAAUUAUUUGGAGCUUGUGAAACAAACUAGUUAGAGAUUUAUCAAAAUUAUUGACUUAUAUUUUAUUAAAGAAUGAAGACAUUUUUAGCUGUGUUCUUAUAUUUUAAUAAUUCAAGUGUCCACACACAUAUAUAAAUAUAUAUAAAAUCAAGUGUUAAUUAAUCUCUUACCCAAUUAAUUAUCUUUUGUCAUAAAUUAUUAUUAUCAUAUAUAAAAAAUAUUUGACUUUAUUUUUAGAAGAUUUACAUUAAUAUGAAUUUACUUCACUCAUAAGAUACCAUAUGACUUAUCAGACAUAGUUGUUUUUCACUUUGUAAACCGGGUCUUUGUAAACUAGGUCAUGGACAUCAUCUUCAAUUUUCACAACAUUAUUAUUUUUCUCUAAAAUCCAAUGUCAAUAGAGUCAAGAUUAUCUUUCUCAAAGUCUCACUUUCAAUACAUAACUUAAAUAUCUUAACAUAAUAUUUUUCUCUCUAAAAAUAAUUAUAUUCAAACUAUACAUAUAUCAUAUCAGAACCAUACCAUAAUAAAUUUGCAUUCAUAAUAUACAUCCAACUCAAAUUAAAUAUUAAUAAAUUACAACUAAUUAUCCAUUAAAUAUUAUAUUAAUCAAAUAUAUCAAAGCAAUAUAGUGAAAUUUAAACCAAAUUCGGCAUUUAGAAACAUCUGUAAAUUAUUUUUUCUAAAAGUUUAGAAAAUAAUCUCUUGCUUAGCCAACAAUUGGCUUACUCAAUAAAUUAAACACAUGUUAUAAUUUCCAAAACUAGAACUAUGUUUGCUCAGCCAAAGGUGUUAGCACAUAUAUGUUAAAACAAGAUCGUCUAUAAAAAUGAAAUUGUCUAAACGCUCUUAUGUGUUUUUAAGUUUAACAAUAACAUUAAACAAAAUGAAUAUAUGUCAAUGUUAAAAUAGUUUAAAUAUAAGUGAUGCAUUAAAACACUCUGAGAAACCCAAAUACUUUAGACAAAGUUUUAGAAAAAUACUUAAGUCUUAACAGGACACACCACUAAGCGAUUCCCAGAUUAAUGUAUCAAUGAUAGUCUUGCUAAAAGAAAGUGUUAUACAAUGCUAGACGAUAAUUAGACAGUAUGUCUUAGUACGUAAAAGUGUCAAGACGAUGUUUUUGGAAAACAUGUUGAAAGUCUUAACAUUCAAAAAACUUGUGAUAGAAAACAUCUUACCAAGUGCACUUGUUGAAUAGAACAGAGAAAAAUCUAAAGCGUUUACAUAGUCUAGACUAUACAUGUUCUAAACGAUCCACGUCAUCUAAUGGUAAAGUCUUUAAUCAAUAGUUUGCUAUCUUAGUGUAAAGCUUAAAUGAUCAAAUCCUACAUGAACGGUAGAAAACGCAAAAAAAAAAAACACUUUGUUGUUCUAAACAGACAUUAAAUGCCAUUAAAUAAUGUUCAACAUUUAAAUAAAACAAAAGUGAUAAGAGAAAAGACAUAUUUGUUGCAUGCAUAUCUACUCUACUUUAUGCAGAUUGCCUAUUACACGCAUCAACUUGCUCCAUCCUAUAUAAAUUAGAAGUGGACGUUUGGAACAAAGAAGACAUUCAGAUAAUGCUUUCUCCAUUAGAAUCGUACUAUACCUACUUUUGUCAAAGUACUGGAAAAGCAAGUCUGCUAUGACAAGUUGACUUUAACCAAUGACUGCCUCAUACGACAAGAUUAAGAAAAAAUCAAGAAUUAAGGCAAAAGCUUUGUCUAACGGAUAUCUUUUUUAUAAUCCUUUAAAUAAAAGAUGAUUCAAAAAGAGAAUAAAGAGAAUAACAUAUAGAAAGAAAAAGCUGAAGCAAACAACGUCGAGAGAAAAGCUCAAAAAGCGUAAAAACUCAAAAGAUUAUAUCAGAGAGAGAAAAAGCUCAAGGAAAGAAACACUCUCAUGCUUCAUUCAUACAUAAGCUUACUUGUGUAAGAAGAGAGAAAACACUCUGUAAGUCUAUUAGAUUGAUUUGUAUUGAGCAUAUAUCUUUUUUUGUGAAAGUUAUUGUCUAAGGACUUGUAACCAAUAGUUCGAUUGUAAAUUUUGAAGAGAAUUAAAACAUUUUACGUUUGAUUUUAUGGAGUUAAACGGUAGCUAGACAGGUAUGUCUAGUGGAAACCACGAGUGGAUGAAAUUCUAACGUUUAGCUUGAUGAAGUUAAACGAUAGCUAGAGAGGUGUGUCUGGAAAUCAGAAAUGGGUGAAACUCAACCAAACAAGUGUAUCUAAAGGAUUCUAAGAGUAUCUAGGGAUACCAGGAGUGAUGAAGAAUAUUGCACAAUCAGGAGUGGAUGAAAUUCGAUACUAGUCAUAGUAACGAUGGUUACUUAGAGUAACUAGGGAUACCAAGAGUGGUGAGAAUACUUAGUGUAAUCUUGUUGAAGAUUAUAGUGAAACAUUCUAAGGUGUUAGAGGAAACUGGGUGUAGCUCGGUGGAGCGAACCAAUAUAAAAACGACUGUGUAUUUAUUACUAUACUCUUUUUAAAUGCUCAUUUUACAAAUCUUGCAGUUGCAUUUUAUUUUAAUUGAUAUUAAAGCUUCUGCUACUAAAUGACUCCUUAUUAAAGAACAAGCUUUAUCAAAACGUUGUAGCAAACUUUUCCCAACAACUAAAAAGCAUUUACUAGAAAGAAUUCAUUGUUUAAACUAAUCUCUAAAAUUAAACAUUUGACAACUUACAUAAACUCUUUUUUAAUCAUCGACAAAAGUGUUAUAUUAUCUUUAUAAAAAAGUUUUUCAAUAACACUAGUAUUUUUUCAAGUAUUUCAAUAUAGUGAAAUUUGGCUCAUCCAACGAAAAUUUUGCUUUGUCCUAAUAAGACCACAUGAAAGAUCUCCUCACUUUCCAAGCAUGCAAAACUUCAAGAAAAAGAGACAAGAAAGAAGUUACUCAGAAAAAAUUCAACCAAACAUAUUUAUUUUGUUCUUCACCAAUAUUUACUUUGAUCUACUUAAUGAUGAAUAAAUUUUGCAGAGAUCUAGAAAAUAGUAAAAUAAGGUAAAGAAUUUUUUUCUAAAAUAAAUUUUAGAUAAUCAUUUUUUUCUAUUUAUAAACUUUAUACUUCAAUAAUAAAAUAUUCAUAUUUCAUAUAUAAUUUCUAUUCUUAAACGAUAUUUAGUUUUUACACAUAAUAUUAAAAAAUCAAAUUAGUCAUAAUAAAAUAGCAAUUAUAUAACAUUGAAAAUCAAGAACAACAAGUUAAAGUGUUAAAAGUAAAAUUGAGGUGGUUAUAGAUUCUAUUUUAAGAAGCAUUGUUAAAAUCAGAAUCUAUGAUUUGUGUUGUUCUACAAGCAAAUUUUCUAAAGAAUUUAUCGUGAAAGUUUUCUAUUUUAUCAUGUGUUUGGUGAUUUGUAACUUACAAGCUUUAAAGAGCAUUAAUUGUGUUUUGUACGUGUAGUACAUAAAAGCCUAAAUAAAUUGAAAAUUUAAGAUAGUUAAAGUUAACUGAUUCUACAUUUUGGUAUGCAUAAAUUAUGGAGUAAUUAAGAAAAGAAAUGUGUAUAGGAAGAUUGCCUCCUAAAUUCUGAUGAGUUGGACAAAAGACAAAGGUCUCAAAUUUUCAGUUCCGUAGAUUAAAUUUUUCACAUCGAUCCAUUAAAGAUAAAAUCUAUUUUUAAAUGGAUACAAAAUUUAUUUUAAUAAGUUAUUUUAAAUUUCGUUACUUUAAUAGAUGGAUAAUUGUUGGAGAAAUUUAUAUUUACACAAAUGAUUAAAUAAUAAGCCUAUAAUGUUAGACAUAAUGAUAAUCGCACAUAAUGUUUAGGUUGAAUCUUUUCAUAAGAUUCAUUGGUUAAGUUAUCUCCUAGAGGUUUAUGAGUCGGUUUGUUUCAUGUUUAGAGUAUAAAUUAAUUUAACAAAUUAGGUUAGAUAUAGUAUAUUGUAAAAUUCUAUUUAAUCAAAAAAUUAAGGUUUUAAUCAGUAAAAAAGAUAUAGAGUUAACAAAACUGUUUAUUUAAACAAAUAAUAAUAAUAAUAAUAAACUUAUUACUAUAUACUAGCCUCAACAUAGGGAUUGAUGUGUUUGUGUCCUCGUCCUAUGAUUAUUUAUAAUAAAAAUAUAUAUCUAUCAUUUCUUAUUUUAUGCAAUUUUGUUUAUUAUAUAAAAAUAAAAAAGUAAAUAUAUUAUUUAUUUUACAUUGCAUUGAAGUUAUGUUGUAAAAAAAAGUUGAUUAUAGAAAAUCAAACAUGUUAAACACUCGCCACUUAAUUCUUUGUAGAAUGUGAGCAAUUACUUUUAUUUAAUUUAUGUGGGAGUAAGUAAUUUUUCUAAUUUUUUUUUUGUUUUCACUUUUUUAAUAUGUUUUUCGGACUUACAGUAUUAGAUCAUAUUCAAAACACUCUUUCACACUUUUUUUUAAGGUUCAUAAUGUCGUUUUUAAAGUUUUUGUUAUAAAAUUUUUCUAAGUUCAUGACAUUCCUUCAUCAAGGAAUGUAUAGGUACUCCGAUACUUUAGUACUUAAUAUGAUUAUUCGUUAGUACAAUGAAAUUUUAAAUUCGUAAUAAAUACAAUCACAUAUUUUUUUACUUCAGAUUUGUAUUUAUAAGUUUGGAGAUUGAGUAGGUUUAUCAUGUCCUAAUGCCUUGUAAGCAUUUAUUUGUAAAGUUGAUUAUUGGUGUUAAUUAAGUUGUUUAAAUGUUUAUGACUGCUCUAUCAUCCUUGGAGUAUGACCAAGUGGUUAACUCAUUAGAGUUCUAGUACGCUAUUGUCGUAGACCAUUCGAUCAACAGCUAACCAGAGGAUCAUAUAGUACACUAUGUUUUAUUUUCUUCUUUUUAGUUUUUUUCAUUUUUUUAUCAUUAAUGCUUUCUAUUUAUAAAUUGUAUAUUAUGAAUUUAAAAUAAUGUUAAGCAUAAAAUAGAACAAAAUUUGUAUAUAGUAAAUUAGGUAAUUCCAUUAUUAUUGUUACAAAUUAUUUUUUAUUCUAUAUAAUUUUAUUUAUUAUAUUAAAAAUAAGAUAACUAAGUAUAUUAUUUAUCAUACAUUAUCUUGAAGUUUUAUGUUAUAAUGAUAAGAAAUUGAAUAUUUAGAACUAAAUAAACCCUCACUACUUAAUUAUAUAUAAUGUAACUGAUAGUUUUUUAAUGGUUUAAACCUCUUUUUGGUCCCUAAGUUAUAAGCGGAUGUUCAGUUUAGUCCCCGUUUUAAAAAAUGUAAAUUUUUGGUCCCUAAGUUAUAAAAAAUGUAUCAAAUGAGUUAUUUUUUGACUUGAAAUACUGUUUUUGGUUGUUUCUUAACAACUGAUACAUCUUUAGAUUGCUCUGAUUUGUUUCUUAAUAAUAACAACACUUUAUAUUGCUCUUUGUACUUUGACCAUGAACAUCAAAAAAUGACUCAUUUGAUACAUUUUUUAUAACUUAGGAACCAAAUGUUUACAUUUUUAAAAGCGGAGAUUAAACUGAACAUCCGCUCAUAACUUAGGGACCAAAAAGAGGUUUAAACCUUUCUUAAUCUAAGUGAGAAUCGCAUGAGCAUAGUUUACACACAUUUUAGAAUAUUAGAUUUGUUUAUUUACCCUUUAUAGAUUAAGUGGUUAGUGUUAUACUACUUUUGAUAAAGGAUGCAUAAAAAAUAAUACUUUUAUUUUGUAUAUUUGUACUUAUAUAUAUAUAUAUAUAUAUAUGUAUGUAUUAAUUUCUUGAUAUAAUUAAAAGAAAAUACAAAUAAGAUUAAAGAGCUUUUAAGACAUUAAGAAUUUGUUAAAAAAAUCAAAAUCUAUCCGUACAUCAUUAAUUACAAAAAACUAAAAAUCAAUGUGGGUAAUAGAAAACUCCACCCAAUCCCGCACUUUUUCUCUGCAAGUCUUGUAUGUAUAAUCUAAGGGCUUGUCGCUUUACUUAAUAGCAAGUAUGCUAACUUACCCUAAUAUUCAAACUUUGAAGAUGGAGAUAAAGACUCUAAUGAUAAUAAAAAUGGGUGAUAAUACAAUACCAAAGAUUGAUUGAAGAUGAAACUGUUGGAGUGCAAACAAAGUCCCACAUUGAGUGAAAGAAGGAUUGGUCAAGGGUUUAUAUACACAUAGAUAUCUCCAAUGGUGGGAGGCCUUUUGGAGUGGUACCAAAAGCAAACCCGUGAGGGCUUGGCCCAAAGCGGACAAUGUCUUACCAUGUGUGGAGAUCUAUGUGUGUGACGAACCUCCCCCAACAGUGGUAUCAGAGCAAUAUAAAGAGACAGCUUAACCCAAAAGCAUUUACUUGGGAGUAUCAUUUAAAGGGAAUAUAUGUAUAUUUUUUCAUCUGUUAUAGUUUGUAUUUUAAAUAUGCAUUUAGAACAUAUCAUCUUGAUGCAAAUAUAUUUUGAAAUGAGGUGGUUUAUACAUGACACAUGUCACUCAUUUGAUUUUUUUUUUACUCGGUUAUUUUUCAAAUAUUUUAUACUUUAAUUAGAUCAAAACAUUUAUACUUGAACUUCAUAUUUUUAAAAUGUAUUUUUGUUUGUCAUAAAAAAUGGGAAAUUUUUUGGAUAAAAAGAUGGUUAAGACCUUAAUUUAAUGUUUAACAAACAAAAGUAUUGUUUUAAGACCUUCAUACAUGGUUGUUUUUUACUUAUGAGAUUAAUGAAGAACAUAGAAACAUCAACUAACCAGUAACUGAUCCACGAGUGCCUAUCGACAUCACUAUAAGAAAUGAAUUUAGGAGGUGUGCCAAUAGGAAAAAAUAAGCUUCGCUAAGAUAUCUUUUAAAUAGUGUAUUAUGCAAAAUAAACUACUGUCAAGUGGAGAUGGCAAGGAGGGUGUAUGAAUUGACUCACUUAUUAAAUAACAAAAGAGAUGUUAAUGCAUGCAAUGGUCUAGUAAUUAAGACUAGGCACUAACUGUUGGUAUAAUAAAGAAUCAGGCAAAAAAUCACCCUUAUCGCGAUGAUAUUUAACAUUAACUUCAAGAGGAAUAUCCACCGGAGUAGUUGAUUGAAGGCCAACCAUAAAGAUGAUAUAUGUGAUAUACUUAUGUUGAUGGAGAAAUGUACCAUUGAAGGUGGAUUGAACUUCAAGGCCAAGGAAAUAGUGUAAGUGUCCAAGAUCUUUCACAUGAAAUGAAACUUGUAAUUGUUAUUUGAGUUCUUGGAGGGUGCUUGAUUAGAGUCGGUGGUAACUAUAUCAUUAACAUAAAGAAGUAGAGACAAUGCAUGUAGGUGUGUGGUGGAUGAACAAAGAGGAAUCAUAUUUAUUUUGUGUAAAGGAGAACCUAAAGAGAAUGGAACAAAACUUGUUAUAUCAUGCUUGAGGAGUAUACUUCAAACCAUAUAAAGAAUGAUUGAACUUGCAUACGCCUAUAGAUAAAAAGAAGAGGCCAUAAGGAGGAAGCAUGUGAAUAUCUUCAGUCAACUCAACCUAAAGAAACACAUUCUUUACAUCCAUUUGAUGAAGUGACCAACCCUUAAAAUGGCUAGAAAGGACAGUUUUGACAAAUGUUACUUUGACAACAAGUGCAAAUGUCUGAUCAUAAUCAAUGCUAAAUUCAUGUUUGUUUUCUAAGGCAACUAGUCUUGCCUUGUAACGAUUGAAGGAACCAUCAUAAUUUAGUUUCACAUAAUACAUCCAUUUAUACCCUAUGUGUUUUAUAUCAAGAGGGCAAGAAUCAAUAUCCUAUGUAAAGUUCUCCUGUAGAGCCUGAAGUUCAUAAUUCAUUUUACCCAACGCAUAUCUUUAAUAGCUUGUGAGUAACAAGUUGGAAUAUGUGUUAGAAAGAGCUAUUAGAGAAGAAUGAGAAGAAGUAUACCUGUCUAGCGAGUACCUAUUUAGACCUCGAGAUAUUCGAACAAAUCAUCGUGGUUUAACUGGUACAAACACAUGUGGUGGAUGAGAGUUAGAAGGGGAAGUGGAAACUUUUCAAUGACGUUGUCCUGUAUAUGUGAUGCCAAGUUGGAAACAUUCUAUAGACAGGGAUAACGUAGAAAAAUGGAAAGAAUAAAAAAAUCAAUUGAAGUAUGAGAAAGAAAAGAAAACAUAAAUUGACUAUAAAGAAAUGUGAUAUCCUUGGAAAUGCAAAAAAAAAAAGUAUUGUAACACAUAAAAGCCUUAUGAAAACGAUUAUACCCCAAAAAUACACAUUGGACCAAGUGUGUCCCAAGCUUAUACCUUUCAAGCGGAGGUAAAUGAACAAAACAUACACAUCCAAAUGUAAAACACUAUAAUCAUGGUGAGUUCUUAGAUGGAUAGAGGCUCCACCCAAAAUUUAGAUGGAAUAUAAGCUUGAAGAAGUAAUUGGUAGGUCACACCAAGCAAGUGACAAUUUUUGUGUUUAGUAAUGCCAUUUUUUUGAGGAGUAUUAGGAUAAGAACAUUGAGAUACAAUAAUGUUUUGUUGAAGGUAUUCCUAAAACUUAUGAAAUAUGUAUUCACUGUUAGAAUCAGAGCAGGAAGUUUGAAUUUUUUAUUAGAUUUGAGUCUUAACAUAUGUCAUGAAUUUCUUAAGCAUGGAAAAUAUUUCAGACUUAGAGCGAAGAAAAUAUAUCCAAGUAAAACGAGUAUAAUCAUCAAUAAAUGUGACAAAAUAUUUAUAAUGAGCAUGAGAAGCAAUACUUUUUUUUUGAAUUUGAAUUAUUCUAUAUCUUUAAAAUAUACUAAUAAAAACUAAUUUUAAUGUUUUAAAGUAUAUCAAAAAGAUUUUUAAAAUACCAACAUUAGUGUAUUGUUAAUGCUUAAAAGAGAAAAAAAUUAUGUACUCAAAUUUUUCACACAAACAUUUUAAACAAUAAUUAGAUCAUUUUAAAAGAAGUAUUUUUAAAUCAUAAUUUAAUCUUCCUCUAUGAUACUUCGCAAUAGCACAAAACAAACUUAAUUAUAAAAGUACUUAUUCAUGUCAACAAAAUACAAUAUAUCGUUGAUAUAAUGAUAGGGCAAACACAUAACCAUACAAUAAUUUAUGUUAAGAUGAAUAAAUGACUUCUAGUAAGAUGAAUAAAUUACUUUAUUUACAUACACAAAUGAAAAUGAAGAUAUAUGUAAAGUGUUUCGAUCAUGGGAUUGAGAAUUACAAUCAAGACACUCUUUCACAUUUUUCUUCCAAUCUUCGAAUGUCGUGUAAUGUUUCCGUUAUAAAAUUAUUUUCAAUUCUUCAUCUCCAAACUUCCAAGUCGAGUGGGUGGGUACCUGUCAAAGGUACUCCAACGCUCAAAUUAAUUAUAGGUGUUCAAUCGGUUAUCACAACAAAGUCUUAAAUUCACAAUAAAUGUAAUCACCUACCUCCUUACUUUACCUAUGUAUUUAUAUGUUUCGAAAUAAGUUUUUAAUUACAGUUGGCCUAAUCACGGUCCAAAAAGGCCCAAAAGUCGAUAAAUGUGUUUUACUUAUAAAUAUGUUCGAUUUGCAAUGUUGGUGCCUAAUGGAAAUGGUACAAUUGAUGAGCUUUAUUUCUCAACACCAAGAGAGUUCGGGGGGGGGGGGGACUUUGUGUGUUAUAAAAAUCAACACUUUUCAAAUCUUUUUUGAAAAUGAUAUGGUUCUUGAAACCUUUCUUGUGCCGUAAACAAUAUGUGCAAAAACAAUGACAACAUAUAACCAAUUAAGUAAAGAGAUAGGGAGAAGAAAAUAAAACUCAGUUUUUAUACUGGUUCGACCUUAAUGCCUACAUCUAGUCACCCUCAUAAUCAACCUUGGAUUGGAGAGCAACUCACUAUAAUGAUCAGAGUAUUAUAGCUAAGGCUUUACAGAGCAACUCUCAAAUGUAAACACCUCACAAACUCUCAAUCAAAUAUAGAACAACAAAACCUGUCAACACUGAAUUACCCCGUUCUUGUCGCAGAACCCCUUUGAGAUAUCCCCUCUCAAAAUCGAGAGUACACCACUCUUCUUCCUGAUGCCACACGUACAGGGAACAACAAACCAAAGAUUACAAGUCUUUUUCUCCAAAUCUAACAGUAAGCACCUCAGUUGUGCAAAAACGAUCAGUCUCUUCAAUCUAGUCACGUUUUCCUCUCAAGAAUUCUUCAAGAUUUGUAAACCAUUUCUCUUUGAUUCUUGGAACCUUUGAUCAAUCUGUAAAACUUCUCAUUUGAAAAUCAAUCAGAUAUGAAAAUGUAAUUCUCAAAAGUUCUUAACUGUUCUACAAAAAUUCAAACAAUGCGUCAAUAUAUAGUUUUUGUCAAAUUUGAUGCAAUUCAAUCGAGUACUAUAUUAAUGUAAUCGGUUACAUUAAACACAUGUAACAAACUAAUAGUAGUCAAAGCACAUAAUUGAAUGUUCAAUUAAUAUAAUUGAUUCUCAUUAAAUGCAUAGUCAAACAUAUUUAAAAAUAUGACCGUUAUAACAGUUAUGACAAGCAUAAGUCAGUUUUCAAAUCUUAACAGAGUUAAUUGAAUAUAUAAUCCAUGUAAUCGAUUAAGCUUCAACACUUAGAAGAUUUUUGAAAACUUUUCUUUCCAAAAUUCAUCAUAACUCAUUUGAAAAAGAUAUGUGCAAACACACUAGUUUUAAUCGAUUUACCAACUAACGUAAUUGAUUAAAACUAGUUGUUUUGCCACAAUUUAAAACUCAAGUUGUCUGAUGAUCUUAAUUGAUUAUCACAACACUGUAAUCGAUUAAGUCAUUCAUAUAUGCUUUUGUGCAUGUGGUUUUCAUAUCACCAAAACAUAUGUUGUGCAUACACAUAUAUGAUCACUUCAUAAACACAAUAAUAUGCAUCAAUCAACAUAGUAUGUCAAUCAAAUGUGACAAUCACAAUAUGUACAUAUUUUAUAGUAAGUAUGUACAUAUAACUCAUAACACAGUACAAAUAUAUGUGUUUUUAUUAACAAUGUAUUGUCAUAAUCAAAAACAAAAUCACAAGGAUUGAGUUUAGCUAACACUGUGCUCCCCCAAUCAAUAGGAAACAUGACCGAUCAACUUACUAAGAAGUCGUCCAGUUUGCAAUAACUUAGGUAUGAAAACGAUCUUCCAAUGUUUUUUUUAAAACGUUGACCGUCUAGUCAAUAAUAGACUGGUCGGUCAUAUAAUUAUAAUAUAUCAUUGUUAUAAUUAUAGGACAAACACAUAAUCAUACAAAAAAUUUGAAUUAAGAUGAAUAAAUGAAUAACCUUAAGAUGAAUAAAUGACUUCUAUUAAAGAUGAAUAAAUGACUUGGCUUAUAUAUAUAAAUAAAGCAUAAUAUACCACACAUUAAGAAAACUUAAAUAUUUAUGUAUUUUAAAAUCUUGUAUUGUUUUUGAAUGAAAAUUUUGUAGAAAAUAUUAUUUUAAUAAAUUUUUUUUUAUAAUAAAAUAUUUUAUUUAUUAUUUUUUAAAUAGUAAAAAUUUAAAAAAUUUGUAAGUAUAAUUUAAUUAUUUGAAUAUAUAAAAUUUCAAAUUUCACAAGGUUUUUUUUUUCAUUCACAUCUUUAUAUAAUUUUUUGUCCAUACUUUCUCUUUAGUUUAGCUAAAGAUAUCAUCAAAUUAAUGUAAUUUCAAUGUUGCUGGUUCGAAUGAGAUUAGACUAUUAUUUAUUUUAUAAGUAAAAAUAUGAAUUAAGUAUGUUUUUAAUCUUUAAAUUUUAAUAUAAAAUUAAACUUUAAUUUUAUUUAAAAUUUUAAUACAAUUUAUAUUCAAAUUUUAAAAAUGAAUAAAUAUAACAUUUCUAAUAUAAUUGUGUUAAAUAUUUUUAACAUGUGAAAUAAAUAUUUAUACUUUUUUUUUCAGACAUUUUAACUCAAAUAACAAUAGGUUAUUUAAAAUCAUAUUUAAGUCAAAAUUUAUCAUAGUUACUUUCUUUUAUUAAUAUUAAAUUGCUUUUUCUAAAAAAUAUUUGAUGAUAUCGUUUAAAUUGAAAAUAAUAAAGAUUUUAUGUAAUUUUUUUAAGGGUUAAAUAUGUUUUUAGUUCCUAUACUUUGGGGCGAUUUGGUUUUAGUCCCUCUUUAAAACUAAGUACAUUUAGUCUUUCAACUUUAGAAAACUCUGAUUUUAGUCCUUUUUACCAAAUUUUUUUAACUUUAUUUGUUGUUUCAAACGCGUUUCAUUAUAGUAUUUGGAUUGUUUACACUGUUUGACACAUUUUUGCUUCAAUGUUAACUGAGAACGUGCUUGAAAUAAAAAAUAAAGUUAAAUAAAGUUAAAAAAAUUUGGUAAAAAUGACUAAAACCAGAGUUUUCUAAAGUUGAAGGACUAAAACCAAAAUCGCCCCAAAAUAUAGGGACUAAAAACAUAUUUAACCCUUUUUUAAUUGUGAAAUUUAAAUUCUAAUUGGUUAGAUUGUUAUGAGAUAAAAAAAAUAUUAUAUGUUUAUUGAGCACUAAUCCAACAAUAUUUUAGUGAGCACGCAAAUAUAACAGUAGUGCUAUAAUAAAGCCAUGAAUUUUCUUGUCUCUAAUAAUUUCACAGUUAAACAGGUCACUAAUCCAAGAAUGUGGAAUAUUUUGACAUUCUCAAUAUGUAACUAAUUUCAUUUAAUGGAGAAAAAAAUCUUAAACACUCAUAUUAUUUUUAAUAUACAUGAUUCUAAUAAGUAUUUUAUUUAGGGAAAAUCAAUAUCUUUAUCAGUUGAACUAGUAAUCAUUAAAUAAUUAGUAAGCAUUUAAUUAAUGAAACGAUCAGUAAUUAAUUUUGUUUGUAUUUGUAAUUAAAAAUAUUAAUUUUUUUAUUAAAUUGAUAUACGGAAGCAAAUUAAGAUUUGUAUAUCAAUUUACACAUGAGAAAGACACAGCUUUGCUACCAAUUGCAUUUUUUUAAUAUAAUUACAAAAUCUAAUUCUUAACUAAUAUUAUUGUCAUCGUUACCAAAUAAAAUGUGCUAAACCCAGUCACCAGAUUUUUUUUUUUCUAAACUACAGAAAAUAAAAGAAAAAAUUAUUGGAGGAAAAAACAAACAAAAAAGCACGUUGGGGUACCAAAAAUUAUUUGAAAGGUAUUGAUAUUUAAAUUUUAACGUGAAAUUAAAAUUUAUAUAUAUUUUAUUUUAAAACUUAAAAAUAAAUAAGUAUAAUUUUUUAAUUUAAUUAUAAUUAAAUUCUUUUAUGAGAAACGUGCUUAAAUUCAAAGAAGAAUGUAUUAAAUAAUAUAAAUUUAAUAUGAAAGAUUGACAUAUUAAAAAAAUUAUAUUUAUAAUUUAAUGAUAAAACUAUAUUAAAGUUUUAUAAAAAAACGAAUUCUAUUUAUUCUCUAAAAAUCAAGAUAUAAAAACAUAUUUUACCCUUAAUUAAAUUGACUUAAAAAUGAAAAAAAAAAAGUGCUCAUAAAAGGAAAGCCAAAUUUGACCAGAGUUAACAAAUUAGUCAUAUUCAUGAAUGAUUUAUUAGAAAGCAGAGAAAUCAUUAAAAAAAUCCAGAGAAAUUAAAUAUUUGGAGACCAAGUGCUCCAUUAAAGCAAUUAAUAAAAGAAAGUAGAGAAGCAAAAACGGUAAGUAUGAUUAGAAUGGUGGUAAAAAAAAUAAUUAAUUAAAUAAUAUUGCAGAAAAAUUAAUUGAGGAAGUUGACCAGUCAAUAUUAAAAUUAAAUAGAAGAAAAAAAGAAGAAUUAAUAUAUAUAAGGAAUGUUUGAAAGAAAUGUGCAUAUAGUGGUGUUGAAGAGAGUGGUUAAAUAGCGCGUGGGAAGGGAAAAGGGCCCUACGAAUACAUUUCUCACCAAACCAAACAAAACUUGCAUUACAUUACAUUACAUUACGCACCACACUUCUCUCUCUUUCCUUUCUCUUUCGCGUGUGUGUCUGUUGCUUGAAGCAGUCAACGAUGGAGUCCAAAUCCCCUCGAAGGUACCAAGAGCACCGCGGCGGCGUCAACCUCCUCCCUUCGCCGCGACACAGCCACAGCUCCAACAGCAGCACAAGCAGCAGCAGCAGCAAUGGCCUCCACCACACGCAAUUCACGCCUCUCACGCCAACCGCGCCCUCCCCCACCUCCUACCCGCCCAAGCCCCUCACCAGAUCCGAAUCCGCCAAUCCGUACCCGACAACCUUCGUCCAGGCCGACAGCUCCUCCUUCAAGCAGGUGGUCCAAAUGCUGACAGGAUCCUCGGAAACCGCGAAACAAGCCUCCUCCUCCUCCGCCUCCAAAGCAAACUCCGAAGCAGCCAGGCCCCACUCCCACAUCCCCCCAAUGAAGAAGCAAUCCGGGUUCAAACUCUACGAGCGCAGGAACACGCUGAAGAACCUCAACAUCAACCCUCUCCUACCUGUCUUCUCCAACACCGUCUCAGGAUUCUCUCCUCGCAACACCGAAGUCCUCUCACCCAGCAUCCUCGACUUCCCCGCACUCGUUCUCAGCCCCGUCACGCCUCUCAUACCCGACCCAUUUCACCGAUCCCGCUCCAUCGACACCCAGGCCGAAGACAAGGCCAUCCAAGAGAAAAGCUUCUUCUUGCAUCCCUCCCCUGCAUCCACCCCUAGAGACGCUGACCCUCCUCGCCUUCUGCCUCUGUUCCCCACCGCCUCCCCAGGUUCUUCUUCCUCUUAAAUUUUCAUCAUCAUUUAUUAGUACUAUUACUAUUACUAUUUACUAUUCCCUUCCCUUUCCCUUGUCCUUUACAUUUUCUGUAAGAUUCUUAUAUAUAUUUUUGUGGCAUUCAUGAGGACCAAAGAGAGACAAAAAAAAAAAAAAAAAAAGAAGAUAAACUUGUAAUGGCUUAUGCAGAGAAUGGAACCAGAAUCUUGCUUCAAUUGUAUCUAAACUUUUCUUCUUCUUUUGUUUAUUUAUUUGUUUGUUUGUUACUUUGGGUUUUUAUCCUUUCUUCAAUGUUGAUUACGAGGGGAGCGCAACUGCGGGAGAGGCGAAAUUUAAUUUGACCCUUUUGUUUGUGGGUUGCUCUAAAUGCUAAUUAUGAGGUCGUGGAGAGAAAAGCGAGUUUGAUUCGAAAAUGCGAAGCUUAAUUAUCUUUGAGUAUCAAUAAAUUGGUCAAUUAUUAGGAGGCAUGCCGAUCGGGGUAUUGGGAGGUAUGGCAAUUUAAUGAGAGAAAAGGUUUACUACUUGUACUAGUAGCACACUAUCUAACCAUAAAUUUGGGUCUUUUUCUUCAAAAAAAGAAAUGUAAGUUUUAAUGUGGUUCCUGCAAGGUCGCUGCGUAUAUCAGAGGAUUUAAUUUACUUGGUUUCCCUGACUGUCAAAUCCUUCAAUUAAUGCCGAAUUUAAAUUAUGUGAUGGAAGUGAAUUGCUUCCGCUUGAGGGCAAUACUAAUAAUGAUGAUUUCAAGGAACGUUAUAGCUAAGUGCAGUCCUUGCAGAGCGGUGGUGGGGAUAAGAAUUAUGAAACUGGUGAGAGAGUGAGAGAGUGAGAGAGUGAGAGAGAGAGAGAGAGAAAUGUGGUGGUUUACAUGGAUAGGAAGCAAAGGCAGUGUUGGGCUAGCUGUCAAAGAAAGAGUAGAAGAAAGGGUAAGGAAUCUUGACCCUUUUUGUUGUCUUUCCGAGUGAGGGGAAGGUGCCAAGAAAAGAUGCAGGCAUUGUAUGUGUUUUUGUUACGUAGAAUAGAACGCAUCCACCGGUUUUAUUAUGUUAUGUAUGUAUGUACUUGAUGCCUCUCUUCCCAAAGCACCGCAGCCUAACAGCAGGAAGGACAAUGUAGAUAGAUAGAUCCAUUCACAUGUGUUUCUUUCCCAAACUCUAAACUCAUCCAGGUGGUGUUUCUCUUAGGACAGGACAACAACAUUUGACAGAACAUUUGGUGUUGUUGUUUAAUAAAAUUAAAAAGGGGUUAGUGUUUGUUUUUACUGUGAAGAGAAAAAAAAAAGUAGAAUUUGAAUGUAUAGUAGUAUAGUAAGAGGUGUUGUUGAAUGAAAGGUUUGAAGAGGAGGAAGCAAUGAUGAUGGAAAUUGAUGAAUUGAGUGGGGAAAAGGAAAAGGAAAAGGAAGUGGGUGUUGUGAUGAUGAAAGGGAAGAAAAGAUGUGUUGAAUGAUUUUUUAGGACUUAGGAAGUGUUGGUUGGUGGUGCAUUUAUUGAGAAUUUGAAACUCAACAUGUGCACUGCUCUGAAACACUAGUCCCAGUCCCAUUAUCAACGCCAUCAUCUUCUUCUACUACACUUUGCCUUUCGCUAUCAUUCAAACAAACAUCUAACACAACAUGCCUCAUGUCCCAUCUUUUCAUUUCCACCAUUUUUAUUACUAUUAUCAACCAUCCCACCAAUACCUUUACGCCAUAUGUCUCUCUACAACAAUUUCAUAAUCUACACACAAUAAUCAAAAAUUAUAAUGCAAACACACUUAUAUUCUUUUUUUGUUUAAAACUACCAUUUGUUGACAUAAAGAAGACCCU
rnacentral:lncRNA from 1 species